rnacentral:lncRNA from 1 species
UCUUUUUUCAUGUAUAUUACUUUUUUUUAUAAAUCUGAUAUUUAGAUUGAGCCUUUGUGAAUCCGCCGCUGGAAAUUGAUGUGUACAUAACAGAAGGAAUGUGUAUUGGCUUAAUGUGUGUGAAAGCAGUUGCCUAGCCAGCCCAAUAGGGGAAAAAAAAGAAGAAGAAAGGAAAUAUACUUAAAACAAAAGGGCAAUUUUGGUAUAAAAUCACAUAAUCAUGUCAUUGCUGAUUGCUUACACGGUUCAACGGAUCCCUCUUAAAAUGGUAACAAAUGGAGCAACUUAAAUGCCAUUGUCUAUCACCUUCCUUAAUGACCAAAACUUGUCCUUUUUCCCCUCUUCCUUCUAAUAUAUAUACUUCCCAAUUCGUUUAGGACUUUUCACAAGCAGGUGUGCAGACCCUAAAGUGUGAUCUCUUUCUUUAACACCCCCCCUUAAACAAGAAGUGGUUUGGAGAUCAAUUUCGGCUACCAAAUGGAGGAGAAGCACGUCAAGCACAACAAAAGCUAUCAUGGAGAUGGAGAGGUGGGUUGUCUUCCAAUUCACAGUCAAGUCAUAAAGAUCAAACAAGAAUUCAAGAAGAUCCAGCAUCCGGGGCUGAAGCAGACGGAGAUGCGACGUGUUAUAUACAAGAUCACAAGGGAACGCUCGCGUUCGCCUCUGGGUUUAGCGGAGAGACCCAUCUCAGUCGGAAACUAAUGGAAGGUUUACCAGAGAUCGUUUAUGAAUAUCAUGGUGAAAAUUUUCAGCGUAGCAGAUGCUCCUUGAUGGGUUUAGAAAUCUUUUUAUUUGCUCUUAUUUCUAGGUAUAUCACCUCUUCCCNNNCCCCCCUCUCGUCGGCUUUUAGGCUCUGCCUCUAGUCCAGUUGCUCUGUUUUUGAGAUUCUGUACUCUGUACAUAUCUUUGAUCAAGAGAUAAAAGGUAGAAAGUUAAUUAAAGAUGUGAUGAAAUCUUUCCUUUUCGUUUUUUCUCUUUAUUUUAUUUUCAUUCUUGAGAUAGUUUCAUCCUUCAUCAAUUUUAUAUGGAGAAUUUCUCUGCCCAAAAAAAAUUCAUUGCAAAUCCAUUUACAAUUUUAAUUUUUUUAUAAUUAAAAAAAUUGAGUUCUUUUCUUUUUAUAAGAGAAUUCUUAAAAAGUUAAUUUUUUGAACAAGAUGGAAGUUGAAAAUAAUUUUUUGAAAGGGAUGGUGUCAUAGCCCACAAGAUAGUUAGCAAGCGAGCAUGCGUAAUGAUUUGGCAAAGGAGAAGGUCCGAUUUUAAACAAAAAGUAUCUCACACCACCAACCUUCCUCCCAACAUGAAGAAAAGAAAACGCCAAUAUUUUAUUCUUCCCCUUGAGCCUCAGCCCAAUUUCUGCUUCUCAUCAUCAUGACUUCACAUGCGCUGCUGGGGCUGCCAUACAAGUGUCGGUCGCUGAACCCAUAUGACGACUCAAAACUUUAACGGUUUUGGCCAACUGCAUAUCUAACAAAACUGCCACCUUUUACAUCACCAUGCUGCAGCAGCAGACCCCAUUUGAACUCUCAUCACCUGUAUGAUUAGAGAUUUUUUCUGAAUUCUGAUUUGAUGGCAAUUUCAGUUGAAGAUGAAACACCCCAUCUCAACAAUGAUUCAUCAUCCAUUAUAUGUUUUGGUGGGGAAGUGUCCCAUUGCAAUCACACUGUUCUGUAACAGUGCCAAAAUUCAAUAUGAAUUAAACGAUCUAGUUGAAUUCAAUUCCAAGAUUAAAUUUUUUUAAUGAAUUUUUUAUUUUUUAUAUUAUAAUUUAAUUAAAAUAUUUUAAUUUUAAUUAAAAUUUAAUCUCUUUAUAUUAUUAGAACAGUAAAAUAUUGAUUCUUAGUUGGGCCAGAGUUUUCCAUAGCUUAAACACUUAAACCUUUCAAAAAGCCCACCAUCAAUUUAGCAGUCGCUUCAACAGUUUUUUCUUUUCUUUUUUUUUUUUUUUUUUUAAAGAUUUUCAUUAAAAGAAAACCAACAUUUUUUUAUUAGGAUUUGAAUUUGAAUUUUCAUAUUCUUUAAAACGGCUCUAUUACCCACUAAACGAAAGCCAAUCCUUUUAUUAAAGGAGUGGUGAGUUUUGAAAAAGCUUCUUGAAGAUGAAUAUGCAAUUUAAGUCAAACUGGGUUGAAACUUUCCCAUGUUAUUGGAAGUCCUCCAACCAAUUGGGUCAUCAAUAUCCCACGUUUCCUAGCUGCUGUAUUUUCAUUUUCCAUCAAAUCAAACAAAAUCCAGAUAAAUCCAUUUGAUUUCUAUCCACUCCUAUCUUAUCUCAAUUAUUUGUUCAAUUUUCAACCUAUCUGAAUUAUUAUAAAUUGAAAUAAAUUAAAAAAUUACUAUCCUAAAUAUGAAAUUUCGAAUUACGUGAGAUCUUUCAAAUAUAAUCAAAAGUGCCCAUUCACAGUUCGGAAGAUCAAAAUCCAUGGAAAGAAGGAGAAGAAGAAGAAGAAGAAGAAGAAGAAACCCAUUAGACAAAAGUAAUGAUAAACCACUGUGUUGCAUCGAAAUAAUAUUCACAGUGUUUCUGAUCAAAAUCAAGCAAACACAAAAAAAAACAAAUCAGAAAAUGGAAGCUAUUAGAUCUCAGAACCCAGAACCACCUCUUAUGCCGCCGCAGAACCAUUGAUUCAACUGAGACCAUUAUUGGAUUCCCAUUUAACACCCACCGUCAUCAUGACCUUGAACUCCUCAAAAUCGAUCAUCCCAUUGCCGUCACUAUCGACUCCACUAAUCAUUUUCUUGCACUCUGCAAUAGAGCAGUCCUCGCCGAGGCUGGCCAUCACUUUAUGCAACUCCUCUGCAGAAAUCGACCCGUUUCCAUCAAUGUCGUAAACAGAGAAAGCAUCCUUCAAAUUCUCUAGAACUUCAUCAGUAUCAACCCCUUGUGUAUUCAACUGUACAAACUCUUGAAAAUCGAUGAACCCAUCUCCAUCGGCAUCGAAUUCAGUGAUCAUCUUACGCAGCUCCUCCUCGUUGGCCUGGUGGCCGAGGCUGGACAUAAUGGAGCCAAGCUCAGAGGAGGAGAUCUUCCCAUCUCCAUUGACAUCAAAUUUCUUGAAAACUUGCUCAAGUUCUUCAAGCUGGGUGUUGAGUUUGAAGGACUGAGAUCUCGAUCCGGUGAAUGGAGGAGCAACAGUGGAUGAAUCAACAGAAGAAUCAUCUGAUUUCUUAGAUUUCUUGAGGUGGAAAAGCUCUUUAAAGCCCAUAACUAGAGCCUGGAGGUAGGUUCCUAAAAUGAAGUUUUCUGAGAGGGAAAAUGGGAAUAUAUUAUAUAUGUGCUUUUUUGUGAAGGGAAUUUGCUCUUGUGCUUUCUUUAAAAGUGUUUGCAUGUUUCACAAAUUAAUGAGGUUUGAUUUCAAUGGCAGGCCUUUAAAAGAAUGUGAAAAGAUCACAAUUUUUUUUUUUUAUUUGUUCAUUGAUAAUGUUGAGUGAACUUAGUCUGAGGAGGAACAGUCUCACUGUGGUCACUUGUCUCUGCCAUGAUCAUUUAAUUUUCCAUGGUACGCAUGCGAAUUGAUUUACUAGGCGAAUGGGUCGGCUAUCUUUUCUCUUCCCCUACGGACUGGGCUGGAAGAUGAGAUUAGAACUGAAGUUUAGGGAAGUUUGAUCUUAGACUAGGCUGAAAGGACUGGACCGACCUGAUUGAGAGGCUUUAGAGGGAGUCCGUCUUCAGGCCGAACGGGCUGAACCUAAUUGAUGCGAGAGGUUUAAGAGUUUUCAAGUAAUGGACUGUUAUCAUGAGUCAGGUCUCAGAUCGAGGUGAGGUGGUGAAAUCUAGCAGUCAUAAUUAUAAUUAUGGGCAAUGAAUAAAUAAAAGAUUUUGAGUUUUUAUUGAUCUUCAAGAUGAAAGAAAAUGUAAAUUUGGAAAUAUAAUUUAGUUUUUAUUGAUCUUUAUAAUCAAAUUGAUCGUAAAAAAUAAAAGAAUGAAAAAAUAAAAAUAAUUUAUAAUAUAAUCUCUAAAAUUUUUAAAAAAUAUCUUAAUUUUUGAAUUUAAUUUCUAAAAUUUAGAUUUUAUUAAUAAAAUAUUUAUCAUGAUAAACUCAUUAUUAUCCAAUUAUAAAUUAAAAAAGUCAAUUCAAUAUAAAAUAUUAAAUUAUUAUGAAUCUUAAAUUUACCGAGAAUGAACCUCUUUUGUUUUUAAAUCAGAUAGUAUAUAAAUAAUAAGAUUAAUAAAGUUUUUUAAUAAUAAGAUUAAUAAAUUUCUUUAAAAUCAUGACACUUGUGUACCAAAUUUAAAAGGUUUCAUAAGUUUAAUGAAAUUGCACUAAAUUUAAAAGAUUUUAUAAAUUUAAUCAAAUUAGUUCACUGAACACAGAAUUUUUCAUGACAUACAAAAAUCAUAAUAAUAUUUUUGACCUAAUCAAAAUCAAGAAUAAAAGGACAGACCCUUCAAAGCUCACAAAAUUAGAACAAGAUGCUGAUCUCUUAUGCAUCAACCGUGCAGUAUCGAAAUCAUAGAUGCACGGGCAAAAAAAUGAACUUAUGUAACUAACAGGAUAUGAAACAUGCAAAUACUUUUAAAGAAAGCAUAAGAGCAAAUUUUACUUUAUUCCACAUAUUUGACUUGAACGUUACACUGGUACGAACUAACCGAUUUUACAUUUAUUAGUCAACCGCUCUUUAUUAAUUAAUUAUUUGACACACUUACGAGAGAAUACUUCAUACCAAUUUAAUGAGACGUGACACAAAAAUAUCAGAAUGAUCAAAGAUAUAUGUACUAUAAUUCAACUCAAAAGAGAAUCAUUUUCUCUUCUUAGCACUUGUCUGUAGAUUUCUGACUAUUUUUUCAUAUUUUACAGUUUUCUUUUUAAAAUCGAACGUAGAAAAAUUCAUAUAAAAAUUUUAAAAUCAUUCGCUCUUCAUCAAAAUAAUCAGGACUAAUCUUAUUAUCGAAUUAAAUUAUAGCCUAGAUGUCCAUAUAUUUGAUUACAUUGAAUCAUCAUGUACUAAAAUUGUGAUUGAUUAAUAAUCUAAUAAUAAAUUUUAAUAAAAAAAUUACUUUAUUAACAGAAUAAAACUUAAUAAUUAAAUCAUUUUUCAUAAAAAAAAAAAUUCAAUUACAUUAUGGUUUUAACCAUUAAUAUUAUCCAGCAAAAAGAAAAGCCUAUAAGCAUAUCUGCAAAUGGAAUGGACUUAGAUCAUGAUCCAUGAAUUAUCUGUAUGAAAUUGAAAAAGCAGUAACUUCUUUUCUGGGCAAUUCUUACCUAAAUCUAAUUUAUGUGAAUCUCCUUACAUGUUAUCUCUUGAGCCCACUAUAAAUUGGAUUUAAAUAAAUUUGUUCUCUGCUCUCUAUAUGGCAGUAAAGGGCCAUAUCAUUGUUAUAGUUGAGGGCGUAUAAUUAGUUGAUUCUUCAAUACUAAAUGAGUGUGACAAUAAGGGUAAUGCAGCAGUCCAUAAAGCCACAAGGAAAUCUCAAUUACCAUUCAACAAAACAUAUUUAAGAACCCCAAUAAUUCUAAAUUUCCUCCAAUCAUCGAUCCUAUUAUUGGAGGUCAAUUUAGUCUCAACUUUUAGUUGAAGACAUCUUUGGAGUCUUGGGUAUGUAAUACAAUGAAAACGAAGUGAAGAAACUAAAGAUACAUACAAAUCUCAUUUGAUCCAAUGGAUGCUGACGAGGAAGGAACAUUGCGUCUCAAUUUCAAAUGGAUGCUCAUGCUGUCUCUUCUGUAUACCAAUCUCGGCUAAUUUUUGUCCCAUACGAUUUCUACAGCACGUGAUUUGAAUACUACUGUAGUAGAGGACAUAUUAUUGGCUGAUCACCCAUAAUAACUCAACUUCGUAUUAACGUGAUUUGUCACUGACAGUUUGUUUUAUAAAUUUCGAAUUCAGAAUGAAAUCAAACUAAUAAAACUAAUUAAUAGCCUCAAUUUUAAAAAAUUUAUAAUAAUUUAAUUAAAACACCCUUUAAAUAGUUAUACUUUUUUCACAUAUUAUUAUUAAAUAACUUAAAACUAAUAAAAAUAUAAAUUAAUGUUAUUCUAAAAUUUUUUUAAUUGACAUAAUUUGGUAAAACAACUCUAAAACAACAAUUAUCAUGAAAUAUUUCUAGUAACGGAUACGGUUUGUUAUAAUCUCGGUCCGCUUUUCAUUUCUCCAGACAGCAAUAUAACCUAUUUUCAAUACUCUCCCCCUGGACAAAAAACGGUUGCAUAUAGCAUAUGGCCCAAUAGAUUUCUACAGUUACUUAAUAUUUUUGAAUUCUACACCUUUGAUUCUAUGGAUUUACUCAAAUUUUUCGCAUUACAGUGCAAAAAGUGAGGAAUAUGCCACCAAUACAAAAUAUCUGGCGAAAGGCACAACUCGACUGGUCCUCCGCAUAUAUAUAAAUUACCAGGACAAAUUCAACUACUAAACUCAUGGCAGUGGUCCUUCAGAACUAGUAAGUACUAAUUCAAGUGUGAAAGGGAAAUACAAAGAAUUUUUUUUUCCUGGGGAAAAAAAAUAAUAUAUGCAUAAAUUUGCGAAGAAUGAUGUGUACAUGGAAUUGACCGAAUCCUUUAUAAGGUCACCAUAACAUCUGUGGACUAGACAAAAACAAACUGCAUAUUCUCUAAAUAUUUUGCUCUUUUGCCCAUAUGGCUUUCAAUGAAAAAAAAUAAAAGAACCAAAUGGGCAUGCUCUGUUUCUGUUUACAAAGAAAAGAAUAGCUCAGGAAAGCCCAAGCUUAUCUUAGUUCAAAACCCAAUUUUUUAACCAUUCCCAACCUCCACAAAUUUUAACAGAAUAUGCUACGAUAUACAAUUUUACAAGUUAUACCAGAUCUUAACCAUUCCCCUGCAUGCUGGGAUGAGUGUACAAUUGACUCCAAAACUAAGGCAGGAAACACCACCGUGUUCAAAGCUGUAGCUGUCCUGGGCCUCUCCUAGAUGAUCUUGAAGGAGGCCUAUUCAUCUCUGCUGCAGGAGGCUGUCGACGGGUAUCUUCUGGUCUUUGUAUUUCCUGCACAUAUAACAGCGCACAUUAUCAUUUAAAGAUAAAGCACAAGCAAGCCUUCAUUAACAACUUUCAAAGAAAUUAUGCAAACCUUCAAUGAAGUAGAACUGUUGCGCGACUGUAUUUGUGCCUUUACAUGCAUGCGAUGCUGGUGCUGGAUUUGUUCAAACUGUUGAAGCCUUAAGCCAAAAUUAAUUCCAUUAUGCAGACUAGAAUUCCCGACAUCCUGAUUUACAUCACCAUCCUCAGAGAUUUGUGAUCCACUUGGAAUGUGAUGUAGAAUUUGAGAGUAUGGGUUUCCUGAUGAUGUUCGCUUAAUUUGAUCACCAUUGAAGGAAUAUGAAGGGACGGUUUUUAAACGGGUCCGUAAUAUCUUAAAAGCAGCACUUUGCUGUAUCCAAGGAUCAAAUACAAAAGCAUGUAAGGGUCCACACACUAAUAGAAACCAUUAAUUAACAAUUACUAAUGCAAUACAUGCUGAAAUAAAAAAUGAGGAAUCCAACAUUCACUCUCCUAUCAAUUCUUUGAUUUAGAAGCCUCUCGCAGAAAUGAUCUUUUUGCAUCUCUCCUUCCAAAUACUAAAAUCAUAGAAUAGUGGAAGAACUUAUAUCCUAUAUUUAAAAUGCACAAGGAGAAACGGAAUACAACAGGGCACACAUGCAAAUGGCAACUCCUCAUCCUUCACAACCACACAUGUUCAAACAUAAAUGUAACAGAUAUGAAGCAUUAGCACAUGCAAUGUUAAAGUAGCUACCUUUGCCCAUUACAGUGACAAUGAAAUUUCAACACUAGAACUAUAUAAUGUCAGGUAUACCUGCGGCAGUAACAUCAAGAGACCAUUCAAAGCCUUUAAUAACCAUGUGUACCUUCCGGGUUCAAGAAGCUGCAAAAACCCAAAAAUAGCUCUGAAACUCGAGAAAAUAUUCCCACUUAAUAAGGCAGGCAAAUGCAGGAAUAGAAAACUAACCAACCAUCAUAAUCUACGAAAAGUUGAAUGGCAUUAAUCAGAAAACAUACAGAUCAUUUAUGUAAAUGUAUGAUAAGCAGCCAACUACAAUUAGUCCAGGAAAUACAGAAGACAGUUUUAACAAUAAUAAUCAUACAUCACUUGUAUGUUGAGCCACCACUGUGUCCCAUGUACAGGGAGGGAUUAUAUUACAACAUAAACAACACAGAAAUGUUCAUUCAUUGACAAAACAUCCGCCCCAGGGGCUUUGUUUGGUAUCAGCACACCAUCAAAAGUAACAAUCUGAAAUCUCCAUUAGACCAACCUUGCAAGGAAUAUCCAGAGGAAAACAAAGAAAUAUGACAAACAAAAGAGUCCAACUAGCAGACUGACUUUUUAAUUUAGGACAUGGACAGAAGAUGCUCAUGCAAUAAUUAAUCACCAAAACAUGCACAAAGAAAUGAAACAUCAAGGAAUUCUACAUCCUUGGUAAGUAUGUCACAUUUAAGCAUGAUAAUUUAAGCAGGUAGAAAGGUAAAUUAUGAAGUUUCAAUUACGCACCUGCAAUCUGAGGUAAGCAAAGAUGGGGGUUUCUAGCAAGCGAAUCAAUUUAUCGAGCUGGACCAAGAAUUUGACAUUGAUAUCUUCCUCUACCAGUGACUGAAUCACCACACUUGCAUGCUGGUAUGUCUGAAAACAAAUGAUCACAAGUACAACAAAAUCAGAGACAGAGACAAAAGCAAGGUUUUGGGCAUGAAAAAUUUUACUAUUUACCUGUGCUAAUAGGCAAAGGCUUAUAAUUGCCAUAGGUGAAUGGCACCAUGAAGCAUACAAAGAAACAAACAAGUCUUUUCCAGCAGGAUUUACAAGUGAUUGCUUCAAAAGUUGCCGAAGCUCAGCUAGUUCAGAAGAGGUAAGUAAGAUCAAAUUUAGAGCCUGAAAAAACACGAGAUGAGUAAAUACACAAAAUACACCAUUGGAGUUAAAAUAUUGAAAUUGAAAAACAAUAAACUUUACUCUAUAUUCAAAGGUUUCAGCCAUAUCAUAACAAAAACUGAUUUAUGUGAACUUCAAUAAUUUGCAGCGAUUUACUUUUCGGAAGAAUGACCACACCUGAACCAUAAUUGAUGCAAAAUCCAGAUCAGCUUCACCCUCUAGUAUUGUAGAGAGUUCCCGAUAGACCCUUUCAGCAUCUAAUAGUACACAGAGUCUUCGGAUUAUCAAAGCACCACGCCUGAGACACGAUGUGAAUAAUUGAGAAUAACUAAAUCAAAAAAUUGAGAAAAGAAGAAGAAGAAGAAGAGGAAAAGAAACUAGAAGGGAAACACACUCACUUUUCCAGAAGAGAAUUAUCAAUACGGAAAUUAUGCACUAAGAAAACAACAAGUUGACGGAAAUGUUGUGGAUCUUUUGCUAUGCAUGCAUGAACCUCAAGAACGAGAAGAACCACCUGGAAAGAUGUUCAGAAUUGCACCAAAAUAAACAAAUGAGAGACUAGAAGUUACAAAAUAGGACACAGCAUUAGAAAAAUGCAAAUUUGAUCUAUAAAAGAAAUAAUAGUUAGAAUAGGAACUCAAUAAGAUCAAAUCUAAGAUUGCUUGAAUUUAUCUUCAAUAAAAGAAGAGCUAUCAUGAAGCAGGAAAAAGCAAUUAGAAGUAACUUUCUUAUACAUCAAAAAGAAAAAAAAAAAGUUGCACUACAGAAUACUAUGACCCAAAUUUCAGUUUCUUUUCCUAUUUUAUGACUUCUGAAUUUACACUUCUACCAUAACUAAUAGUACUUUCAGUGCAAGACGCUCUUUCACACAAUUUGACAAAGUACAGACUAAUACUCUAAUGACAUGAGAGAUUUUACGCAACUGAAUACAUGAACGUAAAGUUCAAAGCAUGCAUGUUUAACACACCAUAGUUUGGUGUAUCUCAUCUUUGCAAUCCUGUGAUUCACUUUUGUUAAUUUGCUACAAGGUGAUUUAUAGAAGAUAUGGAAAGCAAAUAAGCAUAUGGAAAUCAGAAAUAGAUGCCCAGAUCUUUUUAUCUCAAUGGAGACAAUUUUUUUCCGGUUCCAUGUGCUCUAAUGUUAUGGCAUUCACACCUUUUCUAAACCACAUGCAGGUGAAGUGUCAAGAAAAGAAGUGAAUAUGGUGCAGAAGGAACAUAAAAUAAAAAUCACCUAAGCCUUAAAUCCAAUCCAGUUGGGGUCAACUACAUGAAUCCUUCAUAGGGCUAAAUAACACAAAAGUGAAAAAACUAAGGGGUAUCAUUUCAGUCUAACAUAUUCUGCAAAAUUAAAAUAAAAAAAAACCAUGGAAGAUGAAAAACACAAUCACUAGUACAUAAUUACCUCAUCCGAAGGAUCUGAAAGUGCUUUUAGAAGGGUAUCAAAUAUAUCAUUCAGAAAACUUAAGACCUGUUUCAUAUUGGAAAUUAAACAUGAGGCACUAACCAGAUUCAAUUAAGAACCAAAACUCAAAAAAAGAAAAAUAAUCAGUGAACAGAUUACAUGAACCCAAAGUAGUGCUGCACUGAAAGUGGAGGACAUGAAUCAUGUUUCUCGAUAGCAUGGCCAUCUCAUGCUCCCUAAUAAAAUAACAUGUUUUUUGUCCCCCUGAAUGAAAGUUCCACUAACACUCGUUUGAAGUGUAUAUAAUUAAUUAAGAUUGUAAUAUAUAUAUUUAUAUAACCUAAGUAGCUAUAAUUAUAAGUGUAUAUAAUUUAAUAUUGUCAUUUAUUUUCUACUACUUUUUCAAUAAUUUUAGUCAUAAAUCCAUUAAUCUACCUUAUAAUCCAUAAUAUAUAAUUAUAUCACAUGUUACAUAUGUAUCUUUUAAUAAAAGAUUAUACAAUUAAAAAAUAUUUAGAAAUAAUAUAAUAAUAUUACUAAGAACUACAUAUAAUAUAUUAUCAUUUUACAAUUAGUAUUAUUGUUGUUCUGAGUUAGAAAUUUAAGUUUGUUUUUACCAUUUAAAACAAACAUAAGAAUGUUGUAAAUUUACGUGUAAAACCAAGUCUUGAACUGAAAUGAAAUUGGAACUAGAACUGGACUGCAUUGAAAUUGCUUAGAACUGGAUGAAAACAGGAAACAAAAUAUUGUUCUUAAACAUCAAAGAACUGAAGGUUCAAUUUCAUCUCCAGUAUGGUUCCUAAAAAUCAAUGAACUGAAGGUUUGAUUCUGGAAUCGAAACCAGAACCGAACACCCCUAAGAAGAUGCAGGAAAAUGCGCUUUUGGAAUCAUUGGGGACAGAAUGGUUGAUGUUUCAACUACAUGAGCCUUUUUAAAAAAUUAUAGAAAAAGAUUAUUUUGCUACAGCCUGUGAUAUAAAAAUUUUCAAAACAACAAACAAAUACAAGAUGUAUAGCAUUUAUAGAUGAUGCAUCAUUACCUCAGCCCGAUGCCUGUUUAGGAGUGUUGAUAUCCAGUGCAGUGCUUCAAUUCGUGUGGCCUCCCACUCACUGGACAAUUGGCUGAAUGUUGAAAAGAUCAACAACAAAUGUAAGGUCAUUUUUUUAACAUUGAUAGCUUAUUAUGAACCGUAUGACUACCUUAAACAAGGGACCCUAGUCAGCAAUUCUUAUUUUGCAAUACAGAAGUGCUAUGUCAAAAAGAAAAUUACUAGCAACAUUUUAAAACCUAUUUUCUCCCUCUUUUUAAUCACAAUUUAUGAAACUACACCUUCUUGCAAUGGAGAGUAUUGCUUUAACAUCAAAUCCUUCAGCAGGAUCAGCCUUUAUUGCACGAAGUUCUUCAUUGGUUUCACGAGCAACCUUUAAGACCAAGAAAGAAAGCAUAGAAUGCCUUAGACAACUGAUACUUCAAUUUAUUUUUUCCAAAAGUUUAAAUCAUCAUCCAACUUACCACUCUAAUUUUCUCUUCUUUGUCUGAUAUACAUGGCAGAAUGGCUCCCAGGAUAUCAGCAUAGUAAGGAACAAGUUGAUCCCCACCAAGUUUUACAAAUUCAUUUAUCUGCACAGAAUAAUAUAAAAAAAAACUGAAAUAAUCCAUAUGGAACAAUAAAUUGCAACAACUGCUCCAAAAUUCUAUUGCCCAAAAAGACAUCAGAGAUGAUAUUAGCAAAUAAUGCCAAUAAGUACAUAUGUAUAUACACAUUUACUAUGAAUCUACUUACCCAUGUGAUCGCAGUUAAACGAGUAAAUUCAUCUGGAGAAGCCGCCCUUUGCACCAGUAUCUCAGCCAUACGACCAUAAUCUACAGACUUCAACAGUAGCACUGCUCGAGUCAGAAAAUUACAAAUGAACAAAGAUUUUGUUUUUCUUUUCUUUUCUUUGUCUUUUUUUUUUUCUUUUUUUUUUNNNNNGGUAUGCUAGAUAUAAAAUUAUAGAAGUUUUUAACAAGCAAAUCCACAGAGUGCACAAGCUUUUCUAAGGCAAGUGACCAGGAAGCAGAAACUACAAGAGCAAAAUUUGGGAUUUAACAUCAGCAGAAGUCUUACUGGGGAGUUCUUGAUCUCUUGGAGAAACUCAGAAAGAGCAGAAUCAGCUUGUUGUCUGAUUUCAUGGCUAGAAUCACUCAGCAUAUUAAACAAACCUGACGUUGACAUGGAAGUUUGUGAGUACAUAUUCGAAUUAGAAAGAAAUAUAAAAAUACAAAUUAAAGAAGCAUACAGAUUUUUUAUAAGAAAUGAAAUUUACCAUCAAGAAAAUCUGGCAGAAAACCCAGCAUAUCUAUAUCUGGAACACUGUCCAACACGGUGAUCCAUCCAACCAAAAAUUGGCGAACAUAGGGGUUUAGGACAUUCAUGCGUUCUCUCAACAACGGUAUAAAUUCUUCAAUGCUGACAAAGGACAUCAUAAAAAUUUAAAAACACAUAAUAAAAGAGCAGUUGAUAAAAAUCUCUAGCUAUUAUUGGCCUAUCCAACAUUAACAUACCUGAAUUGAUCACUUUCAGUAACAAUGUCCUGUUUCAUUAUGGAACCAUAUGAGAACUGAUUUCAAGUUUAAGGAGGCUCCUAUCAACAAAGAUAUGUAACCAGCAAAUACUUGUAGCUUAGGCAAUUUACCUUUACAAGUCGAUCCAAAAGAUGAGCAGCACUUUGUACAUUGGCAUCUGAGUCUGCUGAAAGUUUACAUAGGGCAUCAAAAAUUUGGUUAAAGAAUACAAUAAAAUCUCCUCUCACCACCUGCAUGUUAAUAAAAUAUGGCACAUUAAGGCAUGUUAUAUCAAGAGGGCACAAAAAAAAGACCACCAUGAAAUAUAAAUCAACCACAUCUAUUCUAACCUUUGCAAUGUUAUAUAGGGCUUCACAAGCAUAAUAACGAACUCUGCUAUCUUGGUCAGAAAAAGAAUUAAGCACAGGCGGCACAAUUUGCUGGAAGAUGCAUUAAAAGCAAAAGAUGAGUAUAGUGGAAAAUUUUUCAGCAAUGAUUAUAAUUCCAAUUAAAAUCAUUACAUAACAUAACAUGCUGGGACAUCCUUCAGUUAUUAUUUCAUAGAAAUUUUGUCCUUAAGCUUGUAAUCACAAUAUUGCAUUAGCAAAAGUAAUAGCAUAAAUUAUGACAUAAGAAUGCAAUUCCCAUCUCUCUCCUUCCCUACCCUACCCAAUACACACACACAAAAAGCAUACAGAAAAUACUCAAAGCAAUGGUUAAUGGCCUUCAGUACAAUACUUACUGCUUCUUGUGGACAAUGCCAUAGUCGCAAAUAAAAAUCUUUCAAAAGCACUACGUAUUUUGUGUUGCAAAAUCAGGACUCAAGACAGGUUGAACUGGUGUGGACACUCUGAUAACAGAAGUCCAAACCUCAUUUUAGUGUCGCUUACAAGCACUUACUAUCUUCUUGUCAUUUUACCAUACUUUAUGCUCUUUUGCGGACAAGGCCAUAGUGGACAAAUAAACAUGUACAAAAAUGCAUCAAGUACUUUGCCUUGCAAUAUCAGAAUUUGGUCAAAUUGGCCUGGAAUUUCUUCUGGACAUGCUGACAAUAAAUAUCUAAACCCUACAACAGGCUAUUAGUUCAUUCUAUAAUUGAAUUUCAUUUCAAUAGAAAUAACAUUCAUAUUUUAUUACCAGAUCCAAAAUAAUAUCCAAAUGUUUCUUGAAUAAAAAUAUAGCAAGUGAUCAAUCAAAGUAGAAAUUUAGAGGGGAAGGGGAAAAGGCGUUGAAGAAUUUUGAGAGGAAUUUUUUAUUCUAUUCCAAUUGAAUUAAUUUUUAUAAGAUUUGAGUAUUUAUACACAAAGAAUCAGCCUAAAUUAGAAAUAUUUACGAUAAGAAUAAAAUCUCUUAAAUCAAGCCUAAUUAGAUCUCAAAUAUUUGAAUCCUCCUAAUUAGGAACCUUCUAUGUUGGUCAACACUCCCCAUCAAAUUUGUGCAUAGAUAUCGCACAUGUCCAACUUGCAAACCAAGGAAUCGUAGGCCUUGUUGUUGAGCCAUUUGAUAAACACAUCAACUAGCUAGCUGAUCAUCGAAAGUCAAAUGAUCUAACCUCAAAACGCCAUUUAUUAACUUCUCUUUAAUGAAGUGUCGAUCAAUCUCUAUGUGCUCCCUUUCUGAUAGUUUCAAUUCCUCCAACAAUCUCUGCAACGAUAGGAGUUCAUAAACACUUUAUGCCAUCGCUCUACAUUCCGCCUCAGCACUUGACCGAGCAACAACACUUGGAGAAACACUUUGCUUCCCCAAGUGACAAGAUUUUCUCCCACAAGUGUACAGUAACCACUAGUCGACCUUCUAUCGUCAAGGAAUCCAGCCCAAUCUACAUCUAUGAAUGAAUGUAUGCGAAAAUGACCGUAUUUAGAGAAUAGAAGACUUUUCCCAGGAACAGACUUCAAGUAUCGCAAAAUGUAAAAAUCAGCUUGCAUAUGUGAGAGGAGCCCAUCGUAUGUCUAUUUGCGCCAAAAUCAAUAAUCUGUGGGGCAGAAUCAAGAGACGAAACAAAAGCAUUAUCAAAAGUCCUUACAUUACCCACACAAGUCACUGUCAUUUCAAGAAAAAAUCACCCUUUUCCUAUCAAAAAGGGUGAAAAAUUAUUGUUACUAAAGAAAGAAUUAAUGUUCACUAGCAAAAAAGGCACGAGUCUAGCAUAAUAGAAACGCGACUUGAAAGCGAGUUUGCUAGAAGCAUCAUUGACGGAAAACAUCUCCCACGCUGGAAAAAGAUGAACCAACUCACGGGUCCACACAGGUCAGAGGUGCAACUUGAAAGCGAAUAUGAAGGAAAGGAUCGCGUCGAAACAGACCACCGAAAAAUGUCACACAUGCCGGCAUGUGAAAAAGACACAGAAUCUUGCGAGGGCGCGUGAGCCUCACACGCAUGGCUUUCCGGCAUCAGAGCUGGACGGCGACGGUCAGACGACCCUACUGGCAGGGGCGGUGAGAUGAAAAAAGUUCCUAGAUAGGGUAGUACCAAAAAGGUAGAUACAAGGUUUUAGAAAUUCUAAGAGAAAAAUUGAAUUUAAACCCUAAAAUCAGAAAAAAAAAAAAAAAGAAGCUCUAAUACCGUGAAGAAUUUUGAAAAGAAUUUCUGAUUCUAUUCCAAUUGAAUUGAUCUUUACAGAGUUUGAGUAUUUAUCUAGAAAGAAUCAACCUAAAUGAGUAAUAUUUCCAAUAAGAAUAAAAUCUCUUAAAUCAAGCCUAAUUAGAAUACCAAAGGUUUGAAUCCUUCUAAUUAGGAGCCUUCUAUGUUGGUCAACAAGUGUAAGGCAGUAAUGAAUUUAUAUCAAGGCUAAUUAAAUGAAAAAUUAAAUAUUUUCAAUUAUUUAAGAUAUCAACGUGUCCCAUUUUAAAAUAGAACAAACUUAAUGCAACAUUGCAUCCAUGUGAAUCUUUAAAUCAAACAGAACCAUAAGCAAAUUAAAAAGCUGGUAACUGACAUGCUUCUACUGAAUUUACAAUGACGAAGUUGAGCCAUUUCUACUGAGCGCAUUUCCAAUAAAGGGGGAAAACAUCUGGACUAGGCUACAAAAACUGGAAAGGAAGAAAAAGUUCCAAAAUGAGCAGCAACUACAGAGUAGUGUUAGAUCAAUUACCUCCAGAUGUUGGGCUGCUUCUGUAGUCAACCCUACAGUUGCAGCAGCUAGCCCUAUCAAUCCACCCUACAAGAUUACAUUCAUAAACAGUGAAAAAUAAUAAAAUUACACAAUAACAAACAUUGUAAACCAAACAGCGAGGAUUCAAAUCCAAAAUUUCAACCACCACACAUUUGGAAUCAAGAAAUUUGCGAGGAUUCAAUUCAAUUGGUUUUUUCUACACCAAUUGUCAUGUUUGGACUGAAAGAAUUCAAUUUCUUUUAACUUUAAAAAAAUUAUUACGAACGAAAUAGAAUUCAUGCAUUAUUGUGCAAGAAUUCUUUUCUUGCAAAUGAUUUAUGAUUAAUCAAACAAACUGAAUUCUCAUUCCUAAGUCAUUUACAAACCUUGCGGUGGUUGGCUUGAGGCGAGUAGGUGAACUCCGUCGUCAACAAAUUGAUCACCGCAGAUAUCUUGUCAUGAUCCCCAGCAGCCGCCAGCUGCUUCACUAUACCUUCAACCUACAACACACACACACCCAAAAUUAAAAAGACCAACAAAACUAAACCAUUAAAAAACCCUAGAAAUGAAAUUCUAAGAACUGAAAAGAGAGAUAAACCUCGAGAGCAGCAUUUUUGCGCUUCUCAUAAAGCUUAUCGGAGAGAUUACGAAGAACAGAGGCCGGAACGACAGAAAGCGCGUCGGCCAUAUCCGGAGAAACACGAAAAACCUGAGAAUCUCCGUCACUUAGAUUUAAAUUCCUGAAAGGAAACGGAAAUUAAAUUCGUUUCCUGAUCUUCUCCUGUUCGAAUCUAAACAUUUUCAUUAACUUCCUCUUAGUUAGGGUUCGCAGCUGAGGGAGAUCACAGGAAGAGCAAGACGAUGAAGAAAUUAUGGAAGGAAAUCAGAUCUAAGAGAAGAAGAAAAACAAGAACAAGAAGAAGAGCAAUCGACAGUGAUGAAAAUGCGACCUAAUUUUGAGAGGACGGGUCCGUUCGUUCUUUCGUUAGUCGUUUUAAUCUUCUUUCUUUCUUUUUAUUCUCUGUCCUGAGUUUUUUUUUUUGGGAAGGAAAUAUGUGUUUUUUUUUUUUAAUUUUUUUUUUUAAAAUAGUUUUCUUUGAGAUGAGUUUCAAAGGUUGCACAGUUGUUGUGUUCACGGAGAUGCUAUCACUGCCUAAGCUAAAUUCAACGGCCUGCAACUAAUAAGCGUGUUUUUGUGAAAUUACUAAAUGCCCUUCCUUUUGUUUGGAUAAUUACAUAUCCAUUCUCCAUUUCACAGUUUUCACCGCUCGAGAGGGAUUUUAUUAAUUAUUAUUAUUAUUUUUAAUGAAUUUUCAGACUUCUAAUUUUAUGUGUUAAUCAUAUGGUCAAUUCAUCAUUAUCGAAAUAAUCUAGCCAUAUACAUAAAAGGAAAUAAAAGUGUAAGUUUAUUCAAAUGUUAUAGUUGCUUCAUAUCCCUUCAUGAGGAUGCUAUAGGAAUAGCCUAUCCCAUAUUGAUUUCUUACUAUCAUAGAUGUUUUCUUUCUUUUUUACAAAAAAAAAAAGAAAAAAGAAAAAAGUUCUAGUUGCUUCAGUGCAGAUAAACUUAAAAAAAAAAGAAAUUGAGAUAACAAAAUUAAUAAAAUAAUGCAAUUUAUGUGCUGAUACGAAAUUUUUUAUUUGCCCCUUUUGCUUUCAACCUAAAAGUAUAACUUUAUAAAGGCUACAAAGUGCCUCUGUUAUGUGUAUAUUUAUAUACCACAAACUAAAUUAAUUAUAAAAUUAUAUAAGGAUAAACAAAAAAGUUGGCAGAAAAUUGCCAAUCCAAGUUGAGAAUUGAAUGGCAAAAGUCAUGAAGAAAACAAGAAUAAGAAUAAAAAAACAAUGAAUCCAUUAUCCAUACACUAAAUACUUUAAUCUCCUCUUUUAUUAUUAUUGCUUAAAGUAUAAGGACUAACAAUGACUUAAUUGAUUUCCAUCUUGUUAUUAUUUUCAUAUAAUAAUUUUACGUCCAAAUCCAUUCCCAUCAAUAUCAAUAUACCAAUAUAAGAUAAUAAGGAUAAUAAUAAUCUAAUUCAAUAGAAUAUUUGUAAAUUAUAUUAAAAUAACUUUGAAAAAUAUAUUUAAAUUAAAUUCAAUGGUAAUAAAUAUUUAAUUAAUAUAUUUAUAAUUUAUUUAAUAUUAAAUCCAUAAAAUAGUGGUGUGAUAAGAAUCUUGGGAUAGGCAUGUUUGGGACAAAUAUGGGAUCCGAUAUCACCUUAAGUGGCAAAAAUUGUGUCGCAUUUGUCAUUAAUUCAAAAAGGUUUGGACGGUGACGAUGGGAUGCCUUCUGUCUCUCGUUUCUGUCCUUUACUCUCAUAAUUUCGUUUUUUUUUUAUUUAAAUAAAAAUUUUAUAAUUUUUUUUAAAAAAGAAAAGGUUGUAUUGAAUUAAAUUCUUAUAUAUUUUCUGUAAUUCAGAUAACGGAUUAAACUUUUUUACUACACUUAUUAAUAAAAUUACCUAUACAUUUAUUUUGUUUUCUUUAUUAUUAAUAAUAUUGUUAUUGUGUUUAAGUUUUGUUAAAUUAAUUUGUUCAAAUUGAUAUUAGAAAAUUUGAUUUUAGCUUUUUCCUAAACGUCUCAACAUUGAAAAAAUUAAUUUGGCAAACGAGGCCGUUUCAAUGAAGGCCAAGUUCCACCCUCGCAAUUGAAAAAGAAUCAAGUCACUGUCACUUCUAACGAACAUUCAACACUCUUCCCCACCAGAUCAAAAGGUUUUGUUUACAAAUAUGGCAGUAUAACAACUCGUUCUAAAAGGAUUUUAGUAUUCAUCACAUUAAUAUCAAAAGCAAUUAAAUGGGGAAGGAAAAUGGACGAUUUAUAAUACAAGUUUAAUGAUGAAUUCUUUCAAGUGAAUGCAUGUACCAGACAUGAAUCUCUCAUUGCCAUUAGGCUAGUAGUUCAUUGGUCGAGUGCCUGCAUCCUAUUGUAAGAAAUCACAGCUUCAAAUCUAGCAACCUCCAUCCCCUUUGGAGUUGGCAUCAGAAUUUGGAUUCUAGCAAUUCUUCUCUAUGAAACAAGGGUUAAUUUUACAAGAAUGGUAAAGAAUUCGAAGCAUAAUGUUACAUAGACACCAACACUAUUAGCUUAUUUUUUGUGAGAAGAAACAUUUCAUACAACACAUGGAGCAUAAAAGAAUUAGAAUCGAUCAAAAGAAAAAGGACUUAUCAGAGACUCUUCAAGUUCUCGAAAUCCUCGGUAAACAGCCUCAGUUUUGCUCUGGGGAAGUGGCAACCUCCUCACUUCUGUCAUGUACCUGCUACCCAAAAGUUCAUCAGCAACAGAAUACUUGGAAUCAGAGGCUGAAAUGCCCAAUUCCUUUUCCCCCCCAAGUAAACAGAGAUUUUAUCAAGACAAUCCCGAAAUGACAAAUGAGGGACAAUUUUUCCUCCUCUCAAGUCUCAAGCAAGCAAAUGGAAUCUAUUUAAAAAAAAAGGCAAAUUUAAUGAAAUACUUUUGUCCUAAUCACAUCCAAAUAUCAGCUAAUGAUAAUCCAAUAAUAAGGCUGCAAAACACGAAUGGAAUCGCAGACAUAAAAUGGGGAGGCCUAAUAUAUAUAUAUAUGUAUAUAGAUAUAUAUAUAGAGAGAAAGAAUGAGUUACUUAUACUAGCUUUCUCAUUCAAGUUUAGAACGAUAAAAUUCUCAGCCAUAAACGUGAAAUGCGAUCAAAUUGCCACAUUGAUGUAGAACUAAAAAAAAAUCAAAAGGAAAAAGGGAAUAAAAGGCUCUCAAAAUUCUUAUUAAUUUUCAAAUUGUCAAAAACAAUCUCUAGCACACUACCUAAAAUAACAUAGGCAUUGAUAGACUAGUAAAUAGUCCUACUAUUGCUAGGAUUGGAAAUUCCAAAAUAAGAAAAUACUGAACCAAUAUAACUAGGAAAUUCUAACUUCAUAUGAAUUCUAAAUAUUUCUAACCGUUUCCAAAUAUUAGAAACCUAAACUUAAAAAACUUUAAUUUUACAAUUAAAAUUAAAUACAAAUAAUUCCUAAAAAUCCAGUCUUCCUUGACUACACCACAUAUCUAUAUCAGAAAACUGAAAACAGGCUGUUUUGAAAAAUCCAUGACAGCUUCUGAGGGCUCAAGGUUCAUUGCUUGAUCUAUAAUACAGAUGAAAGAAAAUUCAAAUGCCUGAUUUGCUUUGAGGACCAUUACUAUUUGCUAGUACGUCCAGUUGUCUACUCUACUUUCCCAAAAAUUUUAUCACAGCCUCAAGUAUUUCAUGCAAGAAGCGGGGGCAACAAAAAAUACCUUGUCAGAAGCACCCCAAAAAGCUAUAGCACUAAUACUUAAAAGCACUUUGGAUAUGAACUGUUCAAGUACAAAUUUAGUCCACCACAUAGGACUACUCCUAAAACAACAAUUAUGGUAGACAAUAAGUACCUAAACUCGUUAUGCAGCCAAAACCCAAGGCAAAAAAGACCUGUUAGCCUGUGCCAUCUCAUUCUUGGCUAUCCAAGGCAACCAGGUCAUACUACCUGAACAUCAUAAAAGUCAACCAGAUAAUUUCUGAACUUGGCACAACUCUGAUCCUGAUAGUCUUUAUCCUAUAUUCCUUUAAUUAGUAUCAUGAAGUCAAAUAUAAGACCAGAUCUAGGAUCUCUCAGACUUUUCAUGAGUAUCUGUCCAUCAUUUUUAUGAAACAGUAGAGUAUCAGAUUGUAACCACUCUUGUUUCAUGCCAAGGAAUUUGUCUAUCAUACAUAACAUAAAAGGAGCAAGGAGCAAAAAUAUUGUAGUAGCUAAAAGGACAUGGUCACCUGUUAGCAGCACUUGUGAUCUUAUCACGAAUACCCUGGUUAAUGACUGUUGUUUGCUCCUGUGAGAAUGUUCCGCCUAAUAUCAGGGAAGCUCCACUUGUUGUUGUACCCAUCCUCUGUGCAAAAACAGACAUUGCCCACUCUCGCAGUACCACUAGCACUGAUCGAAGAAGGCGUAACCUAAGGUUGGGAGAUGGCAAAAUAGCUCCAUUUGACAACAACUGAUCAUAUGCAUUCAGGACAGGUUCAGUUGCACCCUUGCAAGCUGCAAGAAGAGCUCUUGCUACAUCUUCAUCUCCAACAGAUUCAACCCCUGACUCCAGUCUCUCCUGCAACAAUAAAAUAAAAAUACUUCAAUAAUUCUGGUAAAACAGAAUAAAUGGUACAGCAAUCCCAAAGAUUCAGUUGAUAGCAAAGCACAUAUAUACGUAUGGAAUUAAACUUUACCAAAGCAGCCUUCUCAAGGUGAAGACAUAAAGUGUCUAAAGGUAAAACAGCUCCAUCUCCAGGGUAUAUGUGGGAACCAACCCUCUUCAAUACUGAACACGCUUCAGCAAUCCCACCACUUGAAAGAGCUUUAUCCAUUAGUCUAGCCCAGGUUUCUCUUACAAUGCUACUAUCAGCAUCACCAGAAUAAUUUGCAAAGUAAAGCAUCUCAAGGCAUACCUGAAAGGGGGGGGGGGGGAAAAAAGACAUAAACCAAUUACCCCUCAACACUCUGAAUAGAAAUUCAAUAGUCUGAUAAAAGAAGAAUGAGAAAGCAAGAGAUAGAUGUACCUCCCAGAGUUCAAAAGGAACUGCAUAUUCAUUAUAUAGUUGUGUAAUGCUUUUUAAAUCCAACGAUAGUUCAUUGGCUUUUUCCUGUGCAACUUUUGCAUACUCCACAUUGGCAUUGUUAUCAGCGACUGAUCCAUCUUGGAUGGGCUCAGACAUGCUAGAUGAAGAUUGUAACACAGAAGCUAUAGCCUCCAGUUCCUCUUUUAUUUUUAUUUGAAACCGAAGAACCACAAGCUUCCCCUCAAGCAAAUCUAGCAACCCACUGUCCAGUGCACCUGCACCCCUUGUGGAACCUACCAAACCACCACUAUCACUUGCAUUCUUUGCCUGUAGGACAGCAUUGCUUAAGUAUUGGCGCCUGGCAUUGACAAAAUGAAAUGACUUGUUACACCUAUUGUUUAAUGGAAAAGAUCGAAUAUUUAAAUUCCAUGAAAUGAAGAAAGACACAAUUUGAGUUGGUUUGAUCCUUUCUAUUCACUAGUGAAUCCAUAUUGAAAUGAUUAAGCAAAUUGGAUAGGCCAGAAGAUGUCCUACUCAGUAUCAGCCCUUGUAAUAUUGUAUGUGCCCCUAACCUUUUGUAUAUGAGAAUGUGCUUCUGUGUGCAUUUUCAUAUAUUUCAUGUGAUUUAGGUUUGCUGUAGAACCAGUCUCCAACAAGGAUGAAUGCGAAAAGGAUCCAUAUAGCCAACUCCAACUAGUUUGGGAUUAAGGCUCAGUCAUUCUAGUUGUUCAUGUGAUCUAGGUAUCAUUAUGAUUGCACUCAUCAACAGAAAGUCAACUGAAGUCAACAGGACCAAGGGCUUGCUGAGGCACAACCUCACUAGGCAAACAUAAUUCCUGGUCUUCUUAUAUGUUUAACUAGGCACCAUUUGGUAUAUCUGUUUACCUCAAAUAGGUUAAACCACAGGCUACUUUAAAUUGGAUUAUGAUCACAACCAACCCUAACCCCAAGAAAUAGCAAGACAGAAAUGUAUCAGAAAAACACACUGUCCUGAUUAACAGUAACAGAGGGAGAGUGACAGAGACUAAAAAAUGGAAGCAGAUAAGUUUAAAGAGACUAAUGACCUCUGUUCAAGACUAGGAACAUCUCUUGCAUCAGUUGAGCGCCUUUCAGCCAGUCUCAGCAAUAUGUGUGCUGCAAGCAUAUGCUGCCUCUUCAAGACAUAAUACCGUGCCAACAGAUCGAAGUAUUUUGCUUGAGUAGAUGUGAUGGAUGCUUUGGAAUGACCAAAGGGAGAAGUUGUGGAUAUUUUAGAAACAGCUCGGACCUAUGAGACAAUGACAAAAAUAUGGAUCACGUUAAAGUUUUGCAGAAAGAAUAUAGUAUGUUCCAAUUUCCAAUUAUUAAGUUUAGACAUUAGACACUAUCCAAUUGCGUGAUCCACAAAGAGAUGUGUAAUAGAACAGAUCUCCACUUUAGUUAGACAACCUUUACCUCCUGCAAUGGUUCACGGCCAGCAUUUUGCAGGAACGGCACUAAAUCAGGACCUCCAUACUCCAGUAGCUCAUCUUCAAGGCCCAAUUCAAUCAUAGUCCGGUACAGAUACUCAUGAAAGAGUCUGUCAGGUGAUUGAAUACCAAGUUGAACAAUUUGGCAGAUAUAUUUCUUCCGAGAAGCCUGAUCAAGCACUGGUCGCAUGGCAGCAGGCCUUACUGGAGAUCCAAACUCCCUUUGUGAAGAUUCACCCUUAAGAGAACGUAAUGCACUAGUAAUUAUCUCAUAGCACUGUUCACGUUGAGCAAUUGCAUGUUCUCUAAUAGAUUCAUCAAUUUGAUCAUUGAAAGCAUCACCAGCAGGAUCAAAAGCCUGGGCUUUCUGCAGAGGCAAGCAUACCACAGCUUCAUAAAAUCUGCACAGAAAUUCAUUUUUGGUUUAAGAUACAAGUCUCGGAACUUAUUUUAGUCUUUGCCUCAAUAUAUACUCACCUCAAGUCCUCAAACCUUUUGCAAACAGUUCUUAAAUCAGCAGACUCUGGAACUUUACUCAAAAAAUUGAAGGCCUCUCUAGCAAGAUUAUCCUUCUCCACAGGGUCUGAAGUUACAGCAGCUCUUUCAAGACAUUCCACAGCCAAGAAAAACUUGUAAUCUGACUCCUUGAAAUAGCUUGGACAACCUUCCCGUAAUCUACCACUAACAUCAUCUACUGUUCCUCUGCCAUCAGGACCAGUAUAAUACUGGAGCAAUGAACACAUCAGUUCAGGAAAUGACAUGUAAUGAAGGAUAAUAGUAUCAAAAUUUACAAUCUAGAAAUAAAAGAAAAGUGAUGUCCAUUCAAAAUAAGAAACUUUUCUGUGAAGUAAUUUUUGAAAGGUUAUAUGAACGUAUUCACCUCCAUUAGUGCAGAUAUUAGCAUUGUAGCAAUGCGGUCUCCUUCCUCAGAACAAACUAGUUGAUGGAAUGUUAAUUGAACCAGUGCUUGUAGUAAAUUUGCAUCAAACCCCUGAACCAAGCGUGCCACGUGAUGCUGCGAAAUAAGCUGUAGAAGAAACAAUGCUUCACCAGAUCUAAGAAGCAACUGCCUGAUACACUCCAUUGCUCUGACCUGUAGCAUAGCGAUUGCUUCCUCAGAAAAAGAAAAAUGACAAAUAAAGCUAUAUGUGAAUAUAUUAAGUGUGAAGUGCCUACCUCCAUGGCAGCCAAUUCUGCAGGACUAUAAGGUAAUCGUUGCCGUUUACUUGCUGUAACACCAGCAGUAGACUCAAUGUUCCGUGAAUGGGCACCAAACAAGUUCCUCACCAUAUUUCUGUCACCACUACCUAGGUCUGAACCAGUUCCAUACAAUAUAGAACCGGUCACGUCUCCUAAACCAGCCACACAGCCAUAAAGCCCCCUUCUCUGAUUUCUUCUGGACCUUAAGAACUUCUCUAAAGAACGAACCUUAUUUUCAAGGAUUUGCAGAGCCCCAACAGAGAGUCUGCAUGUUACUACUCCACUUUCGGAUGUCACAUCAGAUGAACCCAAUCCCCCUCUGGUAACAAACACAGGGAGUUCCCAGAGAGGGAACAGUAAUCUUGAUGUGCACAAGCAAAGCCCUUCAUGUGCGCCUGAAAAUACAGGCUCUGCCUCCUGAACAACCUGCCCCAUGCUAAAACCCCCUGUUGUCGUUCUAGUGUUUGAUAGUGCAUUGAACCCUUCAAGUUGUGGCAUUCCAACAACUCUUGGAUCCUCAUAUGUUUCUGCUGCCUUCUCAGCAACAGCAUUGCUUAUAAGAGUCUCAGAAUGAACUAUCCUCGCAGCUAAUAAUAAGCACAUUGCAGCUGCCUCACCAGCACCAAAACGAUUGAAGAAAUCUUCCAAGAUCGAUCUAGGUGAGUUAGCCUCAAACAGCCUUCGCAGAAUGUCAACAGGCCUAUUAAACACUACUUCCAUCAUUCCCAUAGUACUAAAAACAACAAUUUUCCGCCUUGGAAGUAUAUGCUGUGUAAAAAGGUCACCUUUAGCCCAAAGUCUUCCAGAUGCCUUUUCACAGGACUCCCCUAAACUUUCAAAUCCAAAAAAUUCUACUUCUGAAUAUAAUGACUGCACAGUGGCAGCUGUAUCUGGUAAGGGCAGGACAUCUGCCACAAAAAGCAUUCGACCCUCAAUAGGUAGGGAAGACACAAGUUCUCGUAAAGCUCGAGAACUCCUUGUGCUUGUUCCUAAAGUACCUGAUUGUGAACUUGAGUCCUUAGUCACAAUAACUAGAGAAGACAUGGUUGGUGGUGAGGAAUCAGACAGGACAAGAGUUCCAGCAGAAUGAUAUGCUGUUUCAACCUUUAUUGUGAGAUCCUCAUUUGGAGUUCUACUGGCAAGAGAUAUGGCUCCAAAAGUGAGUCCACCACUGACCCCUAUAGGAGGAGAAGGUCUAGUUGUUACAACUUUUAAACAGUUUGGUCUCUGAUGAGUAAUAUUGAGUCGUCCCAAACCUCCAACAGUGCCAUUACUGCCAGUAGAUGGAGAAGUGGAAAGGUACAUCCUUCUGCCAUCUGAUAAUACAGCAACAAGGUGCAACCACUUAGACUCCAGUGUGGAUAAGGGUGAGAUGCAAACAAUAGAUGGCUUCACAGAUCUGUUUGGGGCUCUUGGUCCUGUUGACUGUCUACCUCCAUAAUGUACAUCCCUGUGACUAAACAAAUUUCUUUCUUCUGCCACUUUCUUCAAUGGCCCAUCUCCGUUUGGUCCUAGAAGGAAAACCUGAAGUUUCAUCUCUUCAGUUCUUGCAUACAGAAUCUGCCUUUCAUUAUCAAAAACCAUUUCAACAAUAGGAUCAACAGCUCCAAACUUAAAUACAUUUGGUACAACCCACCUGGAAAAAAGAAAGCAUACUUAAUGUUAACAGACAGUAGGUAUAAAUAAUGUUUCAUUUUCAAUGAAAAAUUUGAGAGCUGAGUCACUCAGAGAUAGAUGGUUAUAUGAAAGUUGCUUAUAUUAAACCAAAGUACCCAUCAUCCAAUGACUCUUAAAUGUCUUCAACUUCAAUUUUAUGUCACACUUCAUACAAUAAUAAAAAAUGAUGAUGUAUUAAUAUUGCAAGUAAAGUCACUGUGACAUAACUGGGAGAAGUGAUGACACCACAGAAGUCCAAAGCGUUUACAGACACAACUUACCUUGAGAUGACACUACCCAAUCCUGCAGUGAGACAAACCUUUCGACAUCUUUUAUGCCAACCAGAACCAGUUGUGUAAUGCAACUCAUAAAUAUGACCAUCACGCCCAGCCAAGAAGAUACGACCUUUAUCAGUACAUGUAAUACAAGUCAUAGUAACCCCAUCAGAUGGGACUGUGUACUCCGGCAAAGGCUGUAGUGAAACUUCUGCAUAUGGAUCAGUACCAUCACCCCCACUAGAACAGCAUACUCCUACAAGAAUCAGCUGAUAACAAGAAAAGGCUAAUACAGAUCAAUAAGAUAGUUAAAGCCAAUGACUAAACUAGAGAAAAUAUUAGCAACAGGAUAAUGUUAGAAAAGGCAUUAGAAGAAUCCUUGAUUCCUUCCCCCUUUUUUAAUUUAUAAACUAAAACCUAAAGUUUAGUAACAACUUAAAAGCACUUGAUACUAUGUUGAUAAAGUAACAUGACCAGGGUAAGGGUAGUCAUCAAGCUUCACUAUGGAUGGAAAUAUGAUGCCUUAAUAAGAACCGAACAGAGUUGAAAUUCCUUUCAGGUAGGAGAGAAUACAAUCCUCACUAUUGGUUCUUUUACAAGAAAAAAGCACUGUUUUAAAAGUAAGGAGUCACAAAAACAUGGAACGAACUCAGCAUUUGUUUUGAAGUACCACGUAAUUGCAAUUUUUGGGUGAUCAUAAAGCCAACAUAAAAACAACUUAUUCAAGAGAAGCUUUAUAAUGAUUACUUUGCUAAGUCGUCAGACUAGCAUAAAGCAGAUCAUGCAUUAAUCCAUGCCAUUAAAUCUAUGGACCAAUUAGCUAUCCUUUAAACUUAGUAACAUGCAUGAACUGGCAUCAAAUCCAGAAAUUUCAAUGACUGCAAAUCUAUUUUAUGUGGGAAAUAAUAACAAAUUGAAUAUAUAACAAACGAUAACUUGAAUAAUAUGAUAUCAAACUUCAAAUUAACAGUACAGUUUAUACUUCAAUCUCUCAGUGCAAAGUAAUAACCAUUGCAUACAAAAGUGAUGAUACAUAAAGAAUAAAUUUAACAACCUCCAACAAAUAUUGGCAUGAGUAGUAUAACAGUGCAUACCAUGGCAGUGGGAAGCAAUGAAAUAUGAAGACAAAUAAAACUCCCAGCUGUUAUUGGCUUGAUAACUGAUGUAUUAAUAACACAUCAAUACCAUAGAAGUAAGUUGAAAGCUAAGAAUAUAACAAGGCCAUCCAAUCUAAAAGACAGAUUAAAAAAAUAGAAUUCUAUGGAAAAUAGAAGAAAGAUUCGAGUUAUUACCUCAACAGGAGUGGCUAAAACUAAAAGAUACUGAAUAGCUUCAACAAAAACACCAGGUUUAGAUUUGGCAAGGCCUACAGCACAAAUGGCUUGCUCCUUCCCACUGUAUUCAGGACACUGUCCAUCCCUAAUCAUGAAUAGAAUGUUAUGCCACAAAAACAACAAAGAAUAAGAUUGCAAUUUUUAUUAUGAUAAGUAGUCAACAACAGUGAUAAUGAUGACAUGCUCAGGAAGCAAGAGAGAAAGAGAUAUAGAGGAAGAGAGACUUGCAUAGAGAGGCAAGAUCAAACAGUUUGAAAAAAUAGAAAAUAGAGGAAUAGGGCUGGAAGGGACCAAAGUAGUGAAUCAUGCAAGCAAGAUGAGUACUACCCUGUGGAAACUAGAAACUUUGCACUAGUAUUACCAUAAAUGAGAACUCUUAUAUGCCUAUACCAAUAUAGAUUGUAUAUAGAAAAGCAGGCGAUAUUUCAUAAGAUCACAAAUCAUCAAGUUCUUUUCUAAACAUGGAAAUCCAAUAUCCACUAAUUUUAUAUUCAUGGGAAAGGAAAAAAAAUUCAAGUUUGUUUAUGACCAUUUAAGGCAACUACUUUGAAAUAUAACCUGCAAGCCCAACUUAUCACUGUGACAUGACAUUAAGAGAUUGAAAAUUGAAAUAUCAGUGAAUAUCCUCAUUCCUCAGUUCCUUGCAACAAUAAAAAGGGAAACAUUACAGAGUCCUCACUCAUAGCCAAUUUAAUAAAGCACAAAUGAAAAGUCAUCUCAAGCAAUGUGUAAAGAGCUGAUCCAAACUUUUCUCAGGUCAGAUCAAAAGCUCAACACUGAACUUACAUUAAUCAUAAUUAGUCUAACCAUUAUAGACCUUUAAGUUAGAAUUUUUUCAUCCUGAAAACAAAGCAGGGCCAACCUCCAUGUCCCUUUAUGCAGAUAAAAGGGGCAUGUUAAUUUAAAUUUAAACUGAUUUUGACAUUGCUUGUUAGGAAGCUAAUAUAGAGCACUUGUGUCCACUGUCCAUCCAUAAUCAAUUUUAAACUGAAAAAAAAAAAGAUAUAAAGGCAAGAUGUAUAAAUUCUCCAAUUUAGGGUAGCACUAGCACCUCAAGCACUGAGGAAGUACUAGAAGUUCAGAACCCAUGCUCAAUCAGAAUAAAGAGUUUCCAUGGCAAACAGAACAGUCAUUACCAUUGGCAAUUGAAUGUUACUUCGGUACUUAAGCCCCUAGGAUGACAAAUUAUUACUUAGAGAAAUUACUUUUUUGUCCAUAUUCAUGCCAUAAUCAACACUUGGGUAGCCAUAUUUUGAAAAAUAAAUGAAAACAUCCCUAAGUUUUGGUUCAGUCACACACUUUCAUCUCUACAUUCAUUAAUCAAUUUAGCCAUUGGGUCAAGGGAUUAAAAGGUAGUCAAUGAGGAACUAAUGUGGUGCUGAUAUAGUACAAAGCAGUGAUGAAAGUUUGAUAAGGAUAAACUCAGAAGAAAUAAUAAUUUAUCUAAGGUAUUUUGACCCUUCAUUAGAGGCAAAAUGCAAAAGUUGUGAAAAAUGGAUUUCCAAACAAAAAUUAUGAUGGAACCAAAACUUAAAAUUAUUUUUCAUACUUUUUGAAAAUAAAUGGACCCAAAAUUUUAAUCAUUCCCAAACAUAUAGACGUAUCCUUAUUGAUUAGCCUAUUACUAAAGUGAAGAAUGACUCACCACUUAUCAAAUCUCCAUAGAAAUAGGAAAUUAUCAACCGAUGCCCAUGCCCUGCGUAUCUCAGGAAAUAUUCCACAUAAAGCCGUCCCUUCUCCACCAGCUGCAUUGUAUCUUUCGAUGAGUACAGGGGGCAACUCCCAAGUAUCCACCAACUCAAUUAAAGGAGGCCACUGCAAUUGAAUCUAAUAUCAUGAACUACUUACUUGCAAAAGAAUAAUCAACAACACACGACAUCCACAGAGACAUGCUCUCAAUUUAGAACUUUCUUUGUACUGUUACCCAAUUUCUUCCGAAUAAAAUACUAGAAGCUUGUAAGAAUACCUCUCUGGGGUGAGUAGAAUAGGGAUGACUGGCAUAUCUGGAAGCUUCAAGGGCCUCUUCAAGGUCAAGCUGAGAAGCAACCUCCCGCCCAAUGCGGUCGCUCACGACGAGACCAGCAUUCGUCACGUCUCGGAGCACAAUAUCCUCUUCCCACGGCAUUUCGUUAUGAAAGACCAAGAAGAAAAACAAAACCCUAAAUUUAAAAAAAUAUAUAUAGGGAUUAAGAUUUUACGGAAAAACCCCCUAGGGUUUUAGGAGCGCUUUUUUGGAAAUUGAAACCCAAUAAUAAGCUUGGGCAUGGAAUACAGAUCCAGAUUUGAACUGUGACAGCAGAAAGCGCGCGCGAGAGAGGUAUAGAAACAGAGAUGUGUUCUUCGAGCAGUUCCAGUGAAGUAAAAGAGUGGAGCUAUUACACAGUAAUAGGGGUUUUGAGGGAGGGUUUUAAUUGGUGGCGGGCAACGCAAGCCAUAUUCGAAAAAGCAGGAGGAAGAGCUAGUUUUGUUUUUCUAGGCUAAACCCUCGUCUCCUCUUUUAUAAAAUAAAUGGAAAUUAUAUAAAGUCGCAACGGUCAAUUUCUUUCAUAUGUAUGUAAUUAUAUAUAUUAACUCAAAUGGUUUGUUUAAUUGAUAUACUAAUUCUUCUAUUUAAAUUACAAAUUUUAUGCCAUAUUAUCCAAUCAAAUAAAAUAAAAUGUAAUUACUAAGUUGUUUUUCUCUCUUCUCAAAAUAGGAAAAUUUUUCUUGGAGUUGCUAAAUUUCUCAUUUUAGUAAAAGAUUUCUCUUUUCCAUUCGGACAAUAUAAAAUUUUUUUUUAGUGAAUCUAUCUCUUCCUUACCAAUGGAUCUAUCUUUUUCCUACCAAAUAAAGAUAGAUAAACUUUUUAUUUUUUUUUCUUUUUAUAUUUAUUAUGUGUUUAUUAAUGCUUUCGUGAGAUUAUCAUAUUAUGAGUUUUUGAUAUCGAUUUUCAAGUGGAGACUCGUGAUAGUAGCUUGAGGGUAUGACAAGACUGUUGAUGAGCGCGUCUCAUUUCCUUCGUUGAUUCUUGUUAAUUUAGGAUAAAUUUUCUCAUCCUAGGCAGCAAAAGGUGAGGCGACUAAAGUUGUUAUAAGGCCUCCUAAGUUAUUAUCUUCUAUUAUUUUUAUUCGGAUUUAAGAUUGCAUGUGUACUUUUCAUUUUUAGUGUCAAGUUUUUCUUGUGGUAUAAAACAUUAGUUGUUUGAAUUUUUUCGUACUACAUGUUCCUUAGUAUGGCCUUUUAUACUAAUGUAGAUAGAUUUUUUUUUUAAUUUUAUUAAAUCAACAUCGAUGAUCGACAAUAUUAAGAAAGAGGAGUAGGAAUGGUAUGUUUGUUGAUUGAAAAUUUUUUUUGUUCAAUUUAUAUUUGGGUUUAGUCUGUAUCAUUUAUGUGGGCUUUUGUUCUUUAUAUGAGCCUUAGAGACUUUAGAUUGCAAUCUCUUCGGCUUUUGGACUUUUUUUUUUAAAUAUGCAUAAUUAUAUUAAAAGUCAUAAGGUAAAGAUUACAAAAGACAUGUUAACAAGCCCAUAAGAUAAAACCCAAAGAAAUAGGAGCCUCAAAGCCCAACCUAUACACAAGAAAGCCAAAACCCAACCCUCCAAACUAGCAAUUGAUAUAAACCAACACCAUCGGCCAGGGGAGGAUGGAUUGCCGCCAAAACAAGCAAAUUGGCAAAUAACUAGAAUGCCAAGAAGCACCGCUGCUCGCUCUAUUCGACCAAAACCCCUUUUGAAAAAACAACGCUAGAAGGAAGAAGGCUGACCACCAAAACUACCAAAGUAACCAUAGAAUGAUUUGUCCCUUUUUCACAGAAAGACAAAGGCAACCAAAGGCUACUAUAAACCCAUAAAGUAUAAUCCACCAACUGACUGAAUUGCUCAACCAUCCGAAGGUACAAAAGAGAAGCUUUAUAGCUACAAUAUUUGUAGUCUCAUAUAACUAUGGAGGAUUGACUUACAGCAUCAAGCAGUAUCCUAUCACCAUGAGCUCCUUGAAUCUUUAAUAACAUCGGUCUAGAAGGGAAACACUCAUAAAACAACCACAAAUAUAACAUCAGAUUAAUCAAAACCCUCACGAUUUAAGCACGGAUCUAACUACAACCAAUCCAAAACUAUACUUGCAAAAGCAUAAGUGAGGAAGGAGCAACACUGUAGACCAUGAGGAAUCAAAACAAAAGUUUUUGUAGACAGUAGAACUCGGCGAUUCAAAGAAGAAAAAUGAAAAGACUUAGAAAAGACGAAAAAAAUAUUCUCUCUCUAACAAUAAAAGAGAGAAUCUAAUCAUACAGUUUUUUGAUGUUUAUUUGAAUGUAUUGAUAUAUAAUCCAUGUUAUUAUGAAUGAAAUGCUUAAUUUUGAGAGAAAAAAAAAAUGUAAUCCUCUCACUUUACCCUUUUCUCUCCCCUUCUCCUCCUCCCAAAUUCUUCUCCCAAUCAAUCCCUCCCUCACUCUCCCCCUCUUCUUUCUAGUAAUUCUAGUUCAUCUUCAUCAUUAGAGGCUUUUUGCUAGAUCCCUUUGAUUAAGUUAUUGUAUAAUUAUUUUAGACUCAUUUAAUUAUGUUAUUAUAUAAUUAUCUCAUAUCCCUUUGAAAUAUGGUUUUAAAGGCGAAUGAAAUUUUCUUAUAAUAAGUGUUUGGAAUAAAAAACAUUAUCAAAUAAUUUAUUUAAAAUAAAUUAUUUUUUGUUAUUUAAUUGUUUUGAUUUAGUGAGUUGAUUUUACGAGGAGAGUUGGAUUUUUGGGCUUUUUUUUUAGGACUCCUUGUAGAUAUAUGGUAUCUUUUUGUCCUAUUGGAACUUACACUGCACUUAGCAAUUCAAAUUUUCUUUUCAGAGGAGCUCAUUUACCAAGUCAAUCGAAAAAAAAAAAAAGUGAAAAAUGCAACGAUGAUGGUGCCUAGUAAUUUGACAGAUCACUGCAAGUAGCUUUAUGUAAAAUUUUUCUAAGAUUUUGUCACAUUGGAGGUUGCAGCACUGUCGGAAUGUAAUCCUGUUCUGCCAUUCUUUUUGGAUAAUAAGAGGUUAUUGUCACUUACUCAUUAUUUAAAAUAAAAAAUUUCAUAGAAAGUUCUGAUUAUGAAAAAGAAAAUGAUAAAGAGAGAAACGCUAGAGGAAGGGGUUGAACCUUCGACCUUGUGGUUAACAGCCACACGCUCUAACCAACUGAGCUACUCCAGCACCCGGUGAAAUUGGUAACUUUAUUUUUCUUUAAAGGUUUAUUUUUUCUGUAGCGACCCAAAUACAAUUUCUUUUGGAUUAUUUAAAUUCUUUUAUUUUAUAGAUACUUAUAAUGUAUUAUAUUAUAUUAUUCAAGAAAAUAAUAUAAUAUUAUAUUUAAGAAAAUGAAAUAUUUAUUUUGAAACUUUGAUAUAGCAAGCUCCGGUUGACCUUUAACAAUAUUUUAUGAGUUUUACCAUCUUAAAUAAACAAAACAAAUACUUUAAUUACACCUAAUUUAUUAUUAAAAAAUAAUUUUAAAUCAAUUUUUUAUAUUUUUAAUUGAUAUAUUUACACUACGUUCAGAUGAUCUGGGGAGGUGUAAAUAAGAAGGGGGAGGCCAGAAGGACAAGGAGAGUUACAAUGUAAAUUUUUACAUACCCCUCCGUCUCCUUGUUUACCUCUGCAAUCAAACAUAGUGUUAAAAGAAUACUUUAUCAACAAAAGAUCCAACAAUCAUAUGCAAUUUCAGGCUCUAAAGAGUUGGACAUAAAAAAAAAACUGUUAAAAUUACAUAAUAAAAAUAGAAAAAAGGGUACCAUGUAUAUAAUAAUUAGCAGGCAAUACAGAAGCAACUGUAUAAGUACAAAACAAUUCAGCAAGCAAAAGCAGAAAGCCUGCUAAAUGUGACUGAUUUGUUUCUACAGCGUCUCAAACUCAAACAACUAAAUACAAAGGAAAAAAUUGACAAAGAAAAAAAAAAAUAACAAAGGAAGAAUCAUGCCAACUCCAAAGGCCGGAAAAGACAAAUGCAGCUCUAUUGACUAAUGCCGUAUAUUGUAAUUUUCACAAGAAUUUGGAGAAGUUUCUUUCCUUUUGGCCCAAUCUCUUCUGUACACAAAGAAGUGGACGAAAUGAACCAGAUGUCAGUGGGUUCCUUAUUCAUUUCCUUUGAGGAUAUUGUACUUGCAGAGAGGACAAAUAGCAUUCAUCUUCAGCCAUUUCACAAUACAUGUUGAAUGGAAAUGAUGGUUGCAAGGAAGCGUAUGGAGCUCCACUCCAUCCUCAUAUGGGCAGAGACAUAUGCAGCAUUCCUAACAGAAAAAAAAAAAAAAAAAAAACAAGAGAAGAUGAUAAAUGAAUCUCCGAAAGACCAGUAAAAUCUUCUACUAUCAAACAGAUAAUAACAAGUAUUCUGAAACAUGGACGCUUGAAAGUAAUCCUCAUUACUCAAUACUCAUUAUCCUUAUUCCUAACCAUAAUAAUAAUAAUAAUAAUGUUCAAAGACCAUCAAAGUCCUGCAUUUUGAUAAGUUCUCCAAUAGCAGUAGAUUUUGAUAGUAUUUGCAACUAAGGUUCCAUCCAAAAUCACUAUUAAAUGCUUGAGUUGGAAGCUAGUUGGCAACUUCUUGGCAUAAUUGCCAAUAUGAACUCAAAAAGUCAAACAGAGCUAGAGGGAGAAAACAUAAUUUCCAGUGUCCACUCUACACAUAAUCUCCAAUUCUAUAAUAGUACUCGAUAAAAAGAAUAUUAUGUAACAAAAACAACAACUUACAGCAUCUUCAGGUAAGAGUAUCCGUUCAUUUGCCAAGUACUCACUGCUGGUUUCAAUGGGAACCAUUUUCCCUGACCCAACACUGGGCUUUUCCUCAUCCCCCAUCACCUGAAAUCUGUAUUUUGGGAGGACACUAAGAUCUGCUUCGGAUGCACCUUCCUAUUUCAUUGAAAUGAAAUGACAGCAACAAUAAGCCAAGUUAAUCAAACAAGAGACAAAAAUAGCAUGAAGCAAUCACAAGAUUGAAGAUUCCAAUUUGUUUAAGAUUCUAUUACCAAUAUAAAGGAACAUUGCAUUUUUCAAUACCUGUCCUGCAACAGCAUAAAGGAUUGCUAUGAUGCAUGGUAAGCAGCAACAGAGAGCGAUUCCAAUCAAACAUGCCAAAACAACACAAAAGAUCGCAAAGAACACAUCAAAUGCCAGAAAAACCACAGCCAGCCUGCACGGAUUCAAAAUUAGAGAUCGUACAUUGCAUCUGGAAAAUAUAGGUUAACUUAAAUGACUUCUUCAGAGAUUAGCCCAAGAUGAUAGACAUCAUUGCCAAAGCUUUGUGAGAGCCCAAUUAUAUCUCUAUUUUAUUAAAAUUUAGUUUUUGUUAAAGAACCAAACCUAAGGCCCACCAGAGUCAUCCCAACCUCACUUGAGUUCAAAUCCAAAAGCAACAAGUUUGUCAUUUUGCAAGGGAUUACAAGUGAAAAAGAAAGGAAAUUAGGAAUACAGUAGAAAGCUUAAAUUUCAAACUUAAAUUAGCAAUUUAGCAUGACACAGUAACUCAGACCAAAAGUUCUAGCAAAAUUUGCAACUGAACAUAAAAGGCUCGCAUAAUUCCCUUCCUUAAAUUUGGUGAGAAGUUAUACACACACACACACUCACACGCAAUAAGUAGCACAGAAGGAAAGUGAAGAACAUGAGCAGAACACGUACCAGUAUAAACGCGGAGCAUGUUGCAAAAGGGCAUCACCACCAGAAACUACCCAGUAAAAGCCAACUAUCCACCACACAAAUGAAGCCAUUGUGUUCACAGAUUCACAUUGUUUAGCAACACUAAGCCAUGAUAACAAAUUCAUUAAGUGAUCAAUAUUUGUAACUGUAAUGCAUAUGCUACAACACUAAUUCAAAUUUUGCAUCAAUAGUCAAUACCACUAUGGAUAACAAACAAUGUGUAAAAAUAUGGCAAUAAUUACUACAAAUCAUAAAAUGGACAGUCUGAUGUAGUAGACGUGGUUCUGGUAAGUGAUCUCAGAUCUCAUCAAGGAACUGGAAUUAUAAAAGAUUCACAAGGAUGAAAUAAAGAACAGUCCUUAGAAAUUAGAGAUAAGGAUCUACUAAACGUUCAAGCAAACUACAGGCUACAGGUUUUGCUGACAACCACUCUCAUUCAAUAUCUUGUCCUUCCUUCAACUCACUGUCACAUAUAAAGAAAAUAUAGGAAUAAGUAGGCUCAGGAUUUGGAGGGAAAAGAUGUUAAGUGACAAUAUAGUUGUAGAUUGUAAAGUUAGUUGUAACUACCUUCCAGCUACAGUAUAAAAGACUAUAGUUGAGCUGUAUUGUAUCAUCUUCCAAGAUCAAUGAAGCAUUAUUUCUUUCUCUCUCUCAAAAUACUUCUCUUCUUCUUCUCUCUUUCUAUUAUAUCUCUUCUCCCUAAACUCUUCUUCUUCUUUUAUGGUUAUUGAGGCCCACAAUUAGGGGCUUUGUGUCAAAUUGGUAUCAGAGCUUGUUUUUGAGUGGGAUUGAGCUGCAAAUGGCUGAUUUAGGUCGGAUCCAUGGCAGAAUCAGGUUUCUUUCUGCUCUUUUUUUUCUCUCUCUUCUUUCCCUCUAAAUUCUUCUUUCUUCUUCCCUGAAAUUUCUUUUCUUUCUUCCCUAUAUUCCUUCUUUCCUUCUUUUCUAAGAUUCUUCUCUUUCUUCCUCUAAUUUCUCUUCUUUUUGUUCCCUGAAAUUUCUUUUCUUUUCUUUCUGCUCUCUGUUUCUUCUUUAUUUCAUUAAAAUUUCUAUCCUCCUUUUUGUUCUUUCUUGAAUUCUUGAAUCAGGUUUUCUUCUUUUUCUAGUUGUUUUCUGGUUCUUUCUUCCCUUCUUUAAUUUCUCAGUUCCUGAAUUUCAAGAAAUCUGUUUCUUGAAAUUUUGGUAAUAUCUGAUUCAUUUCUUCACUUACUUUCUUGUUUGGUUCUAUUUUUCCACUGUUCCUAAUUCUUCCUUUAAAUCUUUUGUUUCUAUCAUAAUACAUAUCUUGGUUUUCUUUUCUUCAUAAUAUGGAAGUACAAUCUUUGGACCAAGAGGAUCUUGAGAGAUUAUUGGAAACUACUGAAAGAAAAAUAAGGACAUAUGAUGAGGAACAUCUCAAGAAGUGUGGUGGUAAGCCAAGAAGUGAGGUGAUAGGCCAAGAAGCAAUUAGGGUAGCAAAAUUGGAGAAGCAAUUAAGCAUUUUGCAAUCGACAGUGCAGAAAAAUGUCAAGGAUCUGGAAGUACUGAAAGAAAAAUUUAGUAAAUCUGAUGAUGAGAACAACAAAUUCAAGGAAGAAGUGCGCGCAUUUACGGGUAUUGUACUGAUGGAUGAAGGAUAAGGGUAAAGAAAAAUGCAACAACUCAGAAGAGUCUCAAGUAAACAGAGUCGCUGAAAGUAAGGUUUCGGAAAACAGAGGGUUGCUUCCUAACCCCAAUCUUGUAUCUGCCAAAGACCAAGGUGAUUCUGUAAACUAUCGUCUUGUUGAAUCUAUUUUGCCAAAGAUAGAACUGAUUGCGAUUGAGGGCAAAGAACCUAAUGAUGUCAAUGAUACAAGAAUGAUGUUUUUGUUGAGAAUAUAUCAAAUCAAGAAGAGGAUGUGAAAGUUUAUGAAGAAGAAGGGUGUAGAAAAGAAUCUUGGAAUUUUGGGAAUAGUAUACUUAUGCUGGGAUCAUGUAAGCAUAUAAUACUCAAAGAGGAUGCAUUCGAAAUAUGGAGGCUGCAAAAGAAGAACGUGCCAUUUUGUCAAGGGAGGAUUUGUGCAUUAAAAUGUUGGAAAAUACCAAUAAGAGUGACAAUGAUGCCUCUAUUUCCAAUUUUUCUGUUCAUAAAUUGGGGCAGCUGUUUGUGCAGACCAUAACAAUUGACAGGAAAGGAUCAGUGUUUUUCAAGGUCUCAUCAAGUGGAAAAAUUUGCCAACUGAAGAUGCAACUUGGAAAGAUAAGACGUUUAUUCAGUCUUAGUUUCCAGUCUUUUAACCUUCUUGGGGACAAGAAGGUUCUCAAGAGAGGGUAUUGUCACAUAUAAAGAAAAUAUAGGAAUAAGUAGGCUCAGGAUUUGGAGGGAAAGAUAUUAAGAGACAAUAUAGUUGUAGAUUAUAAAGUUAGUUGUAACUACCUUCCAGCUACGGUACAAAAGACUAUAGUUGAGCUGUAUUGAUCAUCUUCCAAGAUGAAUGAAGCAUUAUUUCUUUCUCUCUCUCACUCCUCUUCUUCUCUCUCUCUAUUAUAUCUCUUCUCCCUAAACUCUUCUUCUUCUUCUUCUUCUUUUAUGGUUACCGAGACCCAAAACUAGGGUUUUUGUAACACUCACCCAGAACAAGUACUUGGACUGAUACUCCUUAAUAUCUACAGGUCAGUUCAACCUUGAGAGGUGGAGCUUAUCAAGAAGAAACACAAUAUUUAUGAAUAAAUCAGCAAAGCACUACAAAAAUACCAUGCCCUGAACAUGAAAGAAUAUUAAAACCCAAAGAAAGAGAAAUAUCUUAUUCAUUUUCUGAUCUUUUGCAUUAUUAUGACUGAUAAACAGAGUAAUCCACCAGUUCCUCAUUCUGUAAAUGAAUUUUAACACUGGUUACUAGUAGCAGCCAAUUUACUGCUGCUCACAUAGCAGAAAAUAAAUAAAUAACACAAGCAACAUAACCAAAUGGUGAUUUUAACAUGUUUGGUACAGCAGGCUGAGCAUCUUGCCAUUGCUUUUGAUUAAAUAUGACAUAAAAUUUUGAGCACUAGCUUUAUAAUGGUCAUCAUAUGCAGUGCAUAUGCAAGCUUUCUGAAACUUAGUUGAAUAUUUGGGACAAUAUAUUAUACAUGAGAAUUCCUGAAGAAAAAAAAAUGGAAGUUAACUUCUGGAAGUCUAAACCUAACUACAUGGCAAGGAUUUCCCCAAAUCACUUAGUCAUGAGACUCGAGCCUUUUUUUUUUCUCUCUUACAUGACAAUUCAUAUAUUAUCAUACAAGUUUCACAUCAUCUCCCAGACACUGAAUUGUCCAUAUAACCAAUGUAAUAAUUAUUUUAAAUUGAACAUUCAUUAUAAAGUUCCCACUGAUUCCAAAUUGAAGAGCACCAAUUCAAGGAUACAAUUAUGCCAAAAAUUCAAAUUCAGCACUGAAAAAAGUCACCUUGAUUGGCUAGAACUGAGAGUACCCCUAUCACUCCCAUCCCCAUCUUCACUGUCAACAUUCCCUCCUCCAGUUUCUCGCUGCCUCUCUUCAUCCCUCACUAUCCUCGUGUUCCUUCUCCUAUAUUCCAACCACACCAAAACCACAUGCACCAAGCACUGCAACGCGUACCCACAAAUCCAAAUCCUAACCGGCGUGUUCGGCUUCUCGUUCACGGUCAGAAUCAACAUCACUAUCGAAACCACCACAAACGCCGUGUUCCAGAGCAUGUCCAAAGCCACCACGGGCUUCGAGUAACCCCAGUCAGCACGUCGCUCUUCCAGCUCACGAGCCGCCGUCUCUCUAACUAACAUGGAAGGGCCACGGCGGCCAGUGGCACGUCCGAGAAGAACUGCGAGUAAAGUUGGGCGAGCCGUGGUGGAGGAAGGGGGCUCUUGGCGGGUAAGAAGUGGAGAGUGGGUGUCACCCUCCGCCGCCGAGGCGGUUGUACCGGCGGUGUUAUGCGUUGACAUUGGGAAGAUAAUUUAAACAAAAAAGGGAUUUUCUGUCAAAUAGACAAGAAGAGCGUGAUUACCUGAUCAGGGGUUUGAGCAGCGCAUUUGGGGCGAAAAUUUAAUAGAAGGGUUUUUGUUGGCAUAGGAAAAAAAAUUUUCAAUCCUCAACUUAAAAAUAAAUCAUUAUAUUUCUUUCAAAUACGUGAAAAUUAUAAUGUAUUUUUAAAUAAAUUGAAAUUUUAAAUUUAGUUUAUAUAUUAUUAUUAUAAAUUAAAUGAUUAUAUGCUCUAUUUAAUUUUAAAAUAAUUUAAAUAAUUCAAUUUUACUUUAUGAUUUUAUAUUUAAAAUAUAUUUAUGCAUAUAUUAUAUCUAAAAAAUACUAAAAAUAAAUAUAUUUGUCUCUAUAUGCUAUAUGCUAGAAUUUUAAGAACAAUUUUUCGAAAGGGAUAAUAAGUAUAAAUAUUUAUUUCGUGAUAGUGUUUAUAAUCUAUAAAUAUUAAAUUUAGAAUAUGACAAAAUACCUUUAAUUUGUAAAUGAUUACAAAUUACAAUGAUAACAUUAUAAUAACAUGUCAUUCUUUUAGAAUUCAUUAAACAAUACUCGAUUUAAAUCAGAAAAAAUUUAAUCAAAUUAUAUUUAUUUAAAAUUUUAAUUUAAUUUUUUAUUUAUUUGAUUUAGUUAAAUUUUUAAUUUAAAAUUUUUUAAUUAUUUUAAUUCGAUUUAAUUUUAAUUAAAAAAAAUAUAAAAAAAUCAAAUUGAAUUAAUUAAUAAUAAUAAUAUAUUAUUUUUUUUAAAAUAUAAUAAUAUAUUAUUUUUAAUAAUAUAUAUAGAUUACACUAUAAGUAAGGUUGAAACAUUUUAAUUAAAUUUUAGACCAUUAAAAAUAAAAUAUAAAAAAUUAAAAAUUUGAUAGAAAGAUAAAUUGAUCAAAUCAAAUUGAAUCGAUUCGGUUUCUGUCUAAAAUCAAUUCAAUUCGAUUUUUAUAAAUAUUAAAAUUUUAAUUUUCAAUUUUAUUUGAUUUUGAACCGAACUGACCGGAUGUUCAUUCUUACUUCUUGUGUCUUAUUAAAUAGGUGAUUAAGUGCAUUUUGAGUUAUUCUCGUAUGACAGCGAAAAACUCAUGCAGUAUUUGAGGCUUUUCAAUUAAUUUUGAUUAAAGGUUCUCUAUCACUUAUUAACUUGACUAAAGAUUUACAACUACUUAUUUGUUUUAUAAAUGUAGAGAUUCUCAUUUUAGUAUUAACUGAACUUGAAUUUUACGUAUUUCAAAUAUUAUGAUUUCAAACAUUAUGAUUAUUAUUAUGAUUAUUAUUACUGAUCUAUGUUUUCAAUUAUAUUUUCAACCGUCCGAUCCCUCAUUUAAAUUUCUACAUUAAUAGAGUAAUAAAAUUACAAUGAUAACUAAGUUUUAUUUGAGAAAUACUUUGCCACAUGAUCCAUCGGUGCCUACUCUUUGGGUUGCAUGCUUUUAUGUAAAUCUUACUACGUUAUAAUGCAUUAUUUUGCUGACAAAAAAUUUUAAAAAAAAUCCUUUCCAAAAACUAAAAAUAAUAACAAUAAAAAUAAGGAUAUAAAAUUACUUUAAUAUUUAUUUAAAUUAAGAAAUCUGAUUUUUUUUUUUUUAUCUAAAUUAAUGUCAAGGAGACUUAUAAGAGAGAAAGCAUUUUCUUAUAAAUUUUAAGCGUGUUUCAUUGAUUAAGGAAUUGAAUCAUCAUAUCAUUCCAUCUUACUUUCUUAGAUAUUUUAAAAUAAUUUUAAUAAAAUUAAUAUUUAAGUAGGACGUUAUUUUAAUUUUAAUUUUUUUUUCACACAAAUACAAGAAUUUAUCAUUUUGAUUUGGAGCCCAUAAUAGCUUCACGAGAGGGUUUUUAAUUAUUCAAUUUAAUUGACAUUUGUUUUUUUAAAAAAUUUUAAAAAACAAAUUUGAUAAGAAAUAGUCUGAACCAGUUAAAACUGAUUCAAUCCAAGAUGAUUUUGAUCAAACUGGGUGUGAUUAAUUUCAGUCUAUAGAAGAAAAGGAGGCAAGGUAAAAAAUGCCAUGUUCCGAAUCAGGGACAUGGAAUAACAAAAACGACAGAAAGCCGAUAACCCAUCUGCUAUGGUCUGGAGCCGUUUCUUUGAGAGAAUUUCACUGAGCAUGUUUCCCAAUCAACUAAACAAGCAUGCCCAUGAAUGCAGUUUGAGUUUCAAUCAAGAUGAACUUAACGAGUGAGUGAUGCUGGAUUGCUGUAAUCUCUUUUCACUGCUGUUGAAGCUGUUAUAAGCACCGCAUCAAUUGAUAGAGUUAAUAGUCCAUGACAGGAUAGGAAAAUGUGAACAUCAAAUUACUCGGACUCUGUCACAACAUUACUGAACAAAAACAGGCUGCAAGAAUGAUGACCAAGGUCUAGCAGCUGGAUCGUUGGUGCUAGACAAGUCAUGAUCUAAGGCACAAAAGCUCAUUGCUGAUUCUUCACUAUCUACACUUCGAUGAGUUAGUGAGUAUCUUUCAAAUCGGUAUUCUGAUUCAAACCUUGCAUGGUCAAAUGACAUUUCUCCAUGGUUGAAAUUAUCUCCCAAGCAAGCUUUCCAUCGGCCACAGACCAAGUGCAGCAAAAAUACACUGCUGCUAAUUUUCUUCGAGGACUAUCAAUAAUUCUGUAAGGGCAGUCAUCCUUCCAACAUGUAGAUACAUGAAAUGACUCCACUUGAAGUUGUUCCCCAAGAUUUUGAAUGUUUCGUCCAGGAAAAUCAGUUGUUAAUUCUGCGAAUAAUUGCUGAAGCCAACUGUAUUUAUUAGAGAGACCAAGUACAUCAUGUGCUGAGCUAUGAAUCAUUCUAGCCUCAUCUAAGUUGUCAACAUGUACAGGACAACAAUAAGCCAUCUGAACCUCAUGCUGUUUUUCUCCCAACAUGAGCAGCAGCUCAUCUUGGUGCACAACCCUUGCCUUUUUGCUUUUCUCCAUAACCAAGAUCCCCUCGGUAACUCUUUCAUCAGUUACCUGAAGCCAAGAUGUGCGACUUGUGCCAUCUAAAAUUGAAUUAGAUGUAUCUUCUGAACUUUUGUUUAAAAAUCCAAAAUUGGGGCUCAAACAACUGUGGAUAAACAUGUCAGAGGCAUGAGCUUUCACGAAGACGGUGGAAGGAAUGCUCACAGUAUCACAAUUUGCAGGAACAUAACAAUGAAUUCCCAAUUCAGAUUGGACUCUUUCUCUAAGAGAAGCCAUUUUAGGCUUCUCACCGUGUACUAGUAUCACAUGCUUAGGAGAAAGAAAUUUAACUAGAUCCAUAAUUCCUUUGGCAUCUGUAUGAGGGCUGAAAGACAAUUGAUGAAUCUGGCAAUAUAUAUGGACAAUAACGUUAUAGAGAAUAGGACAGAAUAACGAAGGCAAAUGAAUAUCUGAGCUUUCUCAAGGCAUGUAUGCACGCUCAGACACGCACUUGCAUAAACUGGAAGCAGAAUCUUAUCCCAGUCGGUGAAAAUUAUCAGCCCCAAGCAGUUGGGGGAAAAUAUAGAAAUCGUAAUCAACAACAACAAAGUCAAUCAUAUAACAGUAAGGAGAUGAAAAUGUACCUGGCAUCGCACAUCGAUUUGUGUAUCCUUGUCCAAAUUAAUUUUUGUGGGUUUACCCGACAUCAAUUUAUGCCCUAUGGUUCCAGCCACACAAUAUCUAGAAAAGAAAAUAGAAACUAGAGUAAACUUGGAAAGAUAGCUACAAGACUAUUUCAAUAUGGUUUCCUAGGACUGAGCAUGCAAUAUUUUCAGCUAUAAAAGGACUGUGAUAGACAAAAGGAUAGAUAUAAUGCAUUCUCAAAAGCAGCUAUUACCAAGCCAGUACUCAUCUACCUGAAACUUCAUAGAAAUGUCUCAUCCAAGACAUGCUUCAAGAGAAAACACGUCUUUAUUUUAUAUCUUCCUUUGAAUCUCAUAUCGGUUCCCCUUAUAUGAGUCAUAGGCAAUUCUCUCCCUUGAGCUAGCUUUUGGGGUGAGUUAGACCUGACCCAAAUUUAACAUGGUAUCAGAGCCUCCCCAUCCGAUGUUGGGCGCCCCAUAAAUGUGCCACGCACCAGUAAAAAAUUAUGGGCGUGAGGGGGUGUGUUGAAUCCCACAUCGAUUGUGGAAAUGGGUAAUGUGCCCCUUAUAUGAGCCAUAGGCAAUCCUCGGUGAGUUAGGCCUGGCCCAAAUUUAACAUCUUCACUCCUUUUAUUUUACAUUUCAAAGGCCGAAGAAGAGCAAUAUGAAUGAUGCAGCAAAUGAUUUGAUGAACAUGCAGGUAAUAUUUUAUAUACACUCUUAUUUUGUGUGCACCUAAAUAAUUUAGAAAAUGUCAAAAUAAUAGGGGAAAAACUUUGAACAAUUUUAUGCCACGUAAGGGCACCUAACCAAGAAGCCUCAAGACGUUUUUGCUUCAUUCUAAAUGAAGAUAUAAAGGCCAAGCUAAACAGUAUAUAUUUAAUGUUUGUGUCAUAUGCAUCAAAUGGAAGUUAAAGUCCCACAUGAGAUUUUGCUGUAGUAGUGUGGUUUUCAUUAUUAACAACUGUUAGGUUCAAACUGGUAGAUGCACCAAGUAUCCUCCUAUUAUAGUCCAAAUUAAAAGGAGAAAGUAACAAGAUCAUUACCCAGGCAAUGUUACCAGAUUCAUCUCAGAAGGAGCCCAAUGCUUAAAAACCUCUAGUGAAAAACCACCACUAAUCAUCCCAGGCGUGGCAAAGAGAACGCAUGGUCCAGGAGCAUCUAUUAGAGAGCGGUCAAAAUUACAAACUGCAAAAUCAAACCAAAGAAUGAGAUUGAGGACUUAUUCAAAGAAAAAGAAUUAAGAAUAAAAAAAAUCAUUAUGCAAUAGAUAUUUCAUCAAUCUUCACAUUUAGUAUGAGUUGGGACUUGGGAUAUUGCUUAGUUAGAUUAUGCACUCAAGAUGGUUAAAUCUCCUCAAUCAAGUCCUCUCAUAGUUCCAGUAUCUGCAUUAAUUUGAUGCUUUACACGCUUGUUUCCCUAAAUCAAACUGUAGGAUCAAUAAGUGCCAUCCAAUUCAGCAGCUUCAUAACAUCUGAAACAGUUCAGCUUGUUAAGAGUAAAAUUCUAAUGGAAAUGCAAAAUCUGAAUUGGUUUUCUAUUCCAAUUAUUAUGAUGGCAAUAAGAAUUAAAUAUAAAGAAGAACAAAGAAAAAUUUAACGUACUUUCAGAUUGUGUGUCUGUGUGGUAACAUUAAAGAAUGCGAGUGAAUUAGUGAAAGUAAUUAUGGGAAUGGUAAUGAUUGGAAAUUACAUUUGGGGUUGGGGGGGUGGCCAUGGAAGAGGGUGGUGGUACUAACUACUAAGAGAUUUGAUUUUCUUUUUUCGAUUAACAAGAGUUUGGAUAUUUAGUACUAGUCUUGUGGAUUUUAUUAACUUCAAAAGCGAGGGAAUUAAAAAUCCUCUCACUUUUUAUAGCACUUCUACAUCCUGGGUAUUAACAUAGACAAAAACUUUAAUACCAAUUCGCAUUUAUUACAGAGGAAUUAUUUAAAACUGUGGAAUAAGAGAUCCCAAUUUCUUUGAUUGAUUGGUUCUAAAGAGGUACAAGUGAUUUAUCCCCUGAAAUUAUGCAAGAGAUCAAAAUAUCUAUACGCCUCAAAAGAAUUACUACAUUUUCGAUGCGCAAGUGACUACUGCAGAAAAUACCAUUUUUAAAAUCAAAUGCAUUGUGUGUAGUAUACGUCUCUUUGACCUUCUGGCUUGUCCACCCAAUGAGCAUUUUGUAGUACAUAUUAGCUUGAAUUGUCAAACCUGAAAAGUUAACAUCCAAAUAAUGAGCAUGAUUUAUCACACCUAUAAAUGAGAAAGGAAACACAACUGAGAACACAAAACACUCACAAAUUCUCCAAGCUAUUAAAAUCCUUCGUAUCAGUGCUUAAUAAAUUAUGAAACGUAAAGAUUUUUUAAAGCUGAGAACACUAAAAAGAACUAACACUUUAUAACAUGCUUGAAUAAUGGAUUCAUAAGGCAAACAUUGUUAAGAGAACAAAAAUUACGACAAAAAUAUUUCUAAUUAUUUACAGGGCUUUCUCUGUAACUUUUCCAUCUCAAGGGCACAAUGACAGCCAGAAAGACAUGCCACUCUUUGCUAGUAAAUGUACUCUCUCUCUAACAAUCAAAAGGAAACCUCUUAAAUCACAAACACAACCUAAUAUGAUAAAUAAACUCACAAACAUAGAUCUUAACCACUGCAAACUAAAAUCACUUCUGGAUUUGAAAGAAUUAUAAAAGUUAUCCCCUAUAGUGGUAUCUUCUUUGAAGAGAUCAAUAUCUCGAGGCAGUAUACAAUGCAUUAAUGCCUAUUAAUUCAAUAACAAUUGUUCGCAUCAAGUUUUCAAGUAUCAACCCCUCAGUUCCUAAAUUUAUUAUGCAGAGGGAAUGUUCAACCUGGUAAAAUAAAAACAAAUCACUAUGGAAUGGAUCACAGAAGAGUUAUUUUGAUAAUUAAAAACAGUGUUUGACCAGUUAUAUACACAUGCUAAAUAUGUACGAGGAAAGAGUAGGACAGAGCAUACCAGCAGAGAAGUAUAUAGGGAUCUUUAGAUUCAUGCGUUCCCAGUAAUCAUCCAACAAUAUACACAGUUCCUGAAUCAAUCAGAUUGUAAAAUGAGACUAUCAGUCCAUAGUUUCGGAAAUCAAGGCACGUGAAUAAAUAACGCUCAAUAUCAGUGAAGGGCUCACGGAGAUGCAUAGUCAAGAAAAUAAACAAAACAUAAUAAUGCAAUAAACAAAGAACUUGCUCAGGCACAAAAGAAAACUGAAUGAUAAUGUCUGUGAGUGGACCUGAAUUCUAAGCACUUGAGGUAUUAGUAAAUUAGCUAACUGUCCUUCAGGUCCUAUAGUUAAAAAAAUAGUUUAUAUUUCCAAAACACAGUGCCUUCCUUAUCCAAGUUUACGCCCUUAAAAAGUCUAUUUGCCCUUGAGGAAUAAAUAUAGCCCCAUCAUAAGUGACACAUUUAUAAGAUAGAUGCAACAUAAAACAAUUAUUCAUUUUUAUUUUUCUGAAGGACAACAUAAAAUUAUAUUCAUUUUUCUUUUCUUUCUUUUGCAAUUCUCACAAUGAACUACCAUUAAAUAAAUAUAAAACAAGUAGACCUCUAAGGCAGGCAAAUACCAAAAGGAAACAAAUCAUUAUCUAAUGAAAUACCUGAGCUCUUCCAAGUGCAAAAGUAGGAAUAAGGACCUUUCCACCAGCAGCAACACAUUUAUGAACCUACAAAACAAUUGAAUUUCAAAAAUAUCAUAAAGUUGGUGAUGCAAAAACACGUAAUAUGAAGUUGCUAGGAAUCCAUUGCUUACUUUCUAGUCUAGCCUGCCAAGUGCUCACUGAAAAACAUAAAUCUAAACGCUAAACUGUAAUAAACCAUCCCCCAGGAUGGGAUCAUUAACCAAAUAAAAAAAAAGGAACAAAAGCAUGACCACUUGCAAUUCAAUGUCAAAAAGUUGAAGCAACAAUGCCAAGUUGCCAACUCCAAAUCCAACACUUAAAAUAAAUAAAAUGAGAAUUAGAAAGAAAAUUAAUUUAAGAUAAUCAGAGAAGAAAAUUUUAAGAAAUCCAUCUUGUCUCUAAAAUCCUCUAGUGCAUGGUAGGAAUGGAGCAUGAGUUGAUGCAAUUGGUUAUAAUGCAUCAUAAAAGGCAGUAUAUCACAGAUAUUAAGCAUGGACAGCAUAAUGAAUGUUCUCAUAAGUCAUAACUAUGCAACCUUAGUUAAACAAACAAAACCUGUUUAAACAAAAUGUAGAGCUAUCUAACCAAAUUGUUAAUUUGUAAAUUUAUAUUCUUAGCCUUAUAGAAAGUGGCAUUCACAAUUUGGGUAAAGAGCAAUACAACCAAUAGGAUAUCAAAUAUCUAUAAUCCUCAAUCAAUUAAUGAUUGAAAAAACACAAAAUCUUCCAAUCAUUAUCAUAGGAAGUACAGGAAAGGAAAAUGAGGUGAACAGUGAAAUCUAAAAAAUUUAAUAAAAACAUGUAUGUAAUAGAGAGUUGGCAGGUUGGUUUACAUACAACUUUAAGAAAUUCCCUUUCACGAGCAUAUUUUGAAUCGCGAAUAGUCGUUGCAUAUGUAGAUCUGAGAAAAUUAUGAGAAUAUGAUAAUAAAACUUCAUUAGAAAUAGAAACUUGAUUUUGAAGGAGCUGUCAAUGCAGCAGAGGAUUUAUAUGCCAUGAUUUAUAGCGGCAGCAGUUCAAGAAAGAAGCACAUAUAGCAAAAAAAUUUAAGAUGUUUGAAACAACAGUUCAUAUUAACAAAAUACAUAUACAUGGUUGAUUUGGCUAGCUUAGCCAGAAAUGCAAGAGGGAUAACUAGUUCUAAUGGAGAUUGCUUUCCAUUUGCCAAAAAAUUGGAGUGGCAAACCUCGUGUAGCUCAAAAGUGAAAAGAAAAUCAUCCUGUCAGUCCUCUAUAAUGCAAAAGCUCUCUUUGUUAAUUCCAUAAGUCCUAAGGGCUUUACGUACAAAAGCAAUCAUGACAUGAAUUUUUAGCAUUUCAUGCAUUAAACACGGUAACAAGCCAAGGCAAGGUCUUUGGAAGGGUUAAUCUAGAAAUCAAAACUUUGCAUUAAGUGGCUAUACCCUACCCGUUAACUUGUGCACCAGCAAUUGGCUGCCCAAGACUUUAACAAUUGCACUAAUGAUGACUCCUUGAAUGCAGCACACAAAAACUAUACCUAUAAAUAUGAAUUUUUCUGAAAAAUGAAAAUUUCCGAGGCAAAUCACUUAUGCUCGCAAAUAUGGAUUAUCAAAGGAAACAAAAAAAAAAAGCUAAACUCCAAUAGAUGAAAUACAAAUGGGACAAAGAGAUAACAAUUAACUAGGACUUUCCUGCAGUUCAACAUCUAAAUGUAGAAUUAUAUUAGUAAUAAAAAGAUAUAUUUAGCAAUACUAACAAGGAACUCUAUACAAACAGAUACAUAAGAAUAUCUAUCCCAUACACAGUUUUCACAUACUCUGUUAUGAGAAGAUCUAGUUGCAGCCGGUCAAUUUGAGCUGCUCCAAGAUGUCUAUCUGGGGUCAUAUUAUAGUCUCCUGUGUAAACCAUAGCAGAGUCUCCCACCUUUGCAUAAAACAUUGCAGCUCCAAGAACCUUGAGGAACAAGGCCCAAAUGUUAACAUAAAAAUCCAUAAACAACAUAGGCUUCAUUCCCAGUAUUCCGUUGAUUUUUGAAAUGUCUAAAAUGCUACGGUGCAAACAAUGUGGCGCAGGUAUACCUAUUUGCCCAUCAGACAUGCAUCCAAACAAGCAUAUCCAAGAGAACAGGAGACAACAUCUCCUAAUUAACUAUUUUACUCCUACUGCGACAAAUAUUCCUUAAUUAAUUUCAAGGUGAAGUUACCAACUAAUCUAGAAGUUCUUCUAUGACAUAUCAAGUAUAUAUCCCGGAAAAAGGAGCAAAAAUACGAGUAGCAAAACAAAUUACUUCAAAUGCCAGCCUCACUCUUUCAAGUGAAUACUGUCAUCAACCCCUAUCAUAACAAUAAAAGUUCUUUUACAAACAAGAUUUAUUAGUUUUACAAAUACAAGGUUGAUCUCCCAAAAGUAUUUAUUCUUUAUUGAAACUAAAAACAGACACAAUCUACCAGUCUCACUUUGCUAGAUUAGCAAGUGCCACAUUUCUGUGGCUUGAGACUUGACAAUAGUACAAUUCGCCCCACCAAUGCAAAUGGUUCAGAAAAUUUUUGUUUCACCACCCUCAAUUUCUGCUAUAAUGCAGAAAGCUUUAUACUCAGAAUGUCUCCUUGGCUACUACCCAUAAGAACACAAGCACACUGAACAUGUGCAACAAUUCUGAAGAAAAGUUAAUUCGUAUAAAUUAUAAUCUGUGGAUGUUACUCCUUGGUUUGCUAAACAAUAAGCAUGUUUUUAAUGCUAGGGUUCAACAAAAUAAUAGUUCCUUUUUUUCCAUAUACUGGUGAAAUAAAAAAAAAUCCAGAAUAAAAUAUAACUAGCCAAUCUAAACAGAACAAACUUCCUGGAAGAGUAAUUAUUUCUCAAUCAUGUGGAAACAGGGGCUACCGAUCGAGUAUGUGCAGCUAGAAAGCAAGGUGUCUUACAUGACCCGCAUAGUAGGCGCGGAUCUGAAGAUCUUUAUCAACCUGCACAGUCUGCUUCAGGUCCACUGCAAUGACUGCAAAGCAAAAUCAAAUAAGCAACAAAGCUUAAGAAAUAUAAGGCAGAAUUAGCAAGACAGCAUAACAUGAGCAGAAACAUCACAAAAAAUUAUAUGCUUUUUGCAAUAACUGCAUCAUUUUUAUUACAGGAAAAAGAUUUCAACAGAAUAUAUGUAUGUUCAGCAAAAUUGAGACCAUAAACAUGGAAGUUUCUCAGUUUGUACUCGCAGUUCUGUUGAAAGAUGCUAUAGUUUAAAGCAAUUGUUUCUGGAAAAUUAGGCCUGCCAGUGUAUGGUCACCCAAUCAUUGCUUAACUUGAAAUGUCCAAAAAGACAAAAUCCUAAAUGCCUCCAUUAAAAGGAGUUCAUGCAAGAUUUCUGUUUAGAAGCACACGGUUAAGCUAAUUAAUAUAGAUCUGAGAAGUUUGCUGCAGAACCAGCAAAGUUGUCUGUAUCACUGACAAAUUAGCCACAACAUAAUAUAAUGAUGCUGACUUUUAAUCUCGUUUGAGAUAAAAACAAGCAGUAAAUCAAAAUCAGACACAAUGGCUCACAGUCCACUCUUUGCUAUAUAGUAUAUACUAAAUGAAAACUAAGCAUGAACUGAACUUCAUAAGGAAAAGAUAGAAAUUCAGAUACCUUUUUUCAUGCAAGCAAAAAUAUGAUCAGAAGUAAAAUGCUCUUCUUCCCCCCUUCUGUCUACCAUUACUUUUCGAUAGUCCUCCAACAUCAAAGGAGCCAAUGCCUUUGUUGGAUACUGCAGUAAAAACAACUUUACUAGAACAUCAAUCUCAAAUAUAGAUUUCCAAGCACAGUUACGGUAUUGGGAAGUUUAUGUACAAGUCCAAUUGAAUUGUCAGAUGAGUCAAAAAUAAAAAUCACAUGAUGAAAGAAAGAAACCAAUAAGAUCAACGAGAAAACCAGGAUGUCUCAUCAUGAGUUUACAGGAAGAAUCAUUGAAUCAUUUUUAUAUUCUCACAUAAGGAGUUAAAAUAGCUAAGCACAGAAAUACUCUGAAUCCAACAAAAGUUAGGCAAAAAUCAAUAAGACCAUGGUCUAAGAUCUAAAUAAAUAUAAAACUUUGAAAAAGAACAAACAAGAAAACUUUAACAUUUCCCUAGAAAAAAAAAAGAGCAAAACCCAGUUUCCACUUAUAGCUUAUGUAGAAUUUGACCAUUUAAUAACUAACUCUUCUUGGCAAACCUAUCACUGGGGUUAAAAAGGGUUAAUCCUCAGAUCAUGUUUCUAAAUAAAAAAAGUCAGGUUACUUCACUUUUUAGCAUGAAAAAGAGUUAAAAUCGUCCAAUUCCAAAUAACAAAUAACAUCUGAUCGAAAAAGCUAAACAAAUAAGCAUCCUCAAGAAUAAAUCUUUUAACCACUCUUUUGUAUUAGACAGAGAAGAAUCUAAAUUAUGAACCAAAAUCAAGGACAUUAGGGACAUUACCGUCAUGUAAACUGGUCCGUUAUAUCCACAAACUUCAGUGAAGUAAGGAAGAGCACCAACAUGAUCCAAAUGACUGGGAAAUUGCACUCAAAUGUAUCAUCUUUGGAAAAAAAAAUGAAUGAAAAAAGAACGAAAUAAAUGAAGGGAUAGUGUUUUUACAAAUGGGUGACGAUAACACAAUCGAGGGCACUAUCAAAAUCUCCAGUUGUAGAGAUUAGAGAGAAAUCAGGGUACCGACGGUGAUCAUCAUAGCCCAUGUGCAUCCCACAAUCGAACAUUAUUCGUUUGCCAUUGAUGGACACUACCACACAGCUCUUCCCCACUUCCUGCCCAGCACCUAAACAAACAAUACAGAUACACAGACAUGUAAAUUGACUCAAGUGGAUUGGAAGUAAAAGGCAGAGAGGAAGCAAAUAGAGGAGAAGGGGAAGGGAAAUACCGAGGACCAGGCAUUCAAUGGCCAUAGUGUAUGCUACGUCCGCCCAAUAAAAAGUUCAAAAGCCCUAGACCGUUAGCUCUUGGAGCGCUAUUUGGUUAUCCAGUUCGUUUUAUCUCAGUGAACCUGAAGUAAUGUGGAUUGGCUCGCUAUCUGGUAAAGACCCAAGCCUUGGCAUUGGAUUUGCAUGCAUUUGUGCAUAAGCAAUGUGUCCCAAUUUGCAAACAAAUGAAAUUAUGGAAUUGAACGUAGACGACAGAGGCUUGUACCUUUUGGAAAGGAAGUAGGAGAUAAGCUCGAAAGAGUGAUUACCCCAAGUGUUCGUGCGGAGCUGCAGCUGCUUGGCGAAGACAAAUGGAAUUUUGCGAGGAUUUGAGGUUCCCUUCGAGUGAAAGAUGAAUUCUAAGGCCUCUCUAACCAGUCAGCUGAAGAACUCUGGAACUUCGAAGAGGAUCAGCAGUCAUACAACCAGGCUAGCGGCUGUACCAAAGAGUAAGAUGACGGGUUUAAAAUCUAUAAGUGAACGUCGUCGUGUUGUCUUCUUCUUUUUCUUCCUUUUUUAUUCCAAUCGAGUUGUCUUGUUAACCCUUAUCUUUCUUAAUUAAUGAAUAAUAGGUUUAUUUUUGAAUAAUCUUAAGCCUUAUGACAUCAAAAAAGCUAAAUUAUUUUGUGUUUUAUCAAUUUAAUUUAGAUGUUUAAAUUUUGGCAUAAUAAUUCAGAUUUCCAAAACUAAUUAUGAAUUUAUUUAAUUUUAAAUUUUAAUUUAAAAAAAAAUAUCAAUAAUUUUUUUUUAAAUGAGAAUAGAAAAUUAAUAGAGUAAAAUUUAAAAUUUUUCAGAUUUCUCCCUCCUAUUGGAAACAGCAGCAAUGACACAUAAAGGUAGAAGUCCUACGGAUCGUGAACGUUUUUUAAAAAAUUUCAAGAUUUCAGGUGAAUUGUUAUUUUUUCUACCGCAAGGAUAGAGAAAAAAAAUAAAAUUAUCUAAAUAAUAUCACAACCAUAUAUUUAGAUAUUUAUAAUAUCAUUUUGUUAUUAAACUAUAAUAUUGUUAAGGUUGAUUCAUCUUUAGACCAACAGACCCACAGAAGAUAAAAUGAAGGCCCCACAAUAAAACUCUAACUUGAGACAAAAGACUUACGCAAAGACCAUGGGAAGGAACAUGCACUCACAAUCUUUUGUUUUGGUAUUAGAGAGCACUAGGACCCUAUUUCAAGAUUUUUAUUACAAUGCAUGCAUCGCUUUAGUCUUUUGCAUGAUUGAUAUGAUUUAUUUUAGAAAAUUAUUAUAGGAUUUCUAAAUUUUAACAAUAUUAAUGAGUGGGUCUUUAUAAUUUUUAUCUCUAAUUAAAAUAUUUUUAAUUUUAUUGAAAUAUAAUUAAUUACUCUUUCUGUUAAUAAUUUUAUUAGUCGAUAGUUAUAUUUCUCAAUCAAAUGAGAGAGAAUAUUUUAAAAUUAUAAAAUUAAUCUUAAUUCCUUAUAAACAGAGAAAACAAAAAUUUUGCUCAUUCUUCUCAUAUGCCUCUCUCACAAUUUUAUAAUCUCUUUAUUUCUCUUGUUUAACUAUAUGUUUUGUGUUUCUGCCAAAGCAAAAACUCUCUUUCUCUCUGAAUUUCUCUUGAGAGUGUUGAUAGAUGAUAAUGCAAAGGAAAAUUAGAGAAGAGAAGCAAAGCGAUUUGGGGAAAGUGGAUGGAUGUGAGGGUUUUGAUAGAGGAAAAAGGAGAAUGAAUAUUGGUCCAUCUUCCAUCAAGGCUUGGAACAAUUGUAAGAAGUGAAUUGACAACAAAUUCUAUAGGGAUUUGACCGGGCAGUGAAAUUAAUAGGGAGGAGGAGGAGCAUAAUGAAUUGAUUUUUAUGGGUUUAGAUCAAAGAGAAUACCAUGUUCUAAAAUUGGAGCAAAAUAUAUAUUUUUAUGACUAUCGGUAUAUAUAAUUUUUAAAUUUUUUUUUUUUCAAUUUCAAAGCAUAGUAUUCUGUUUUUUUUUUAAUGAAAUUAUUGAUGUGGAAUGCCUUUUAUCCAAAAUGAACUAAAUUAGAAUUAGAGCUUAAAUUUUGAUUUUGAGAGUAAUAGAGAAAUGAAUUUUAUUUACCAUUGUUUGAGCAUAUAUGGAAACAUGGAGAUAAAAGGAAUAGAAAAAGAAUAGUUGUUUAUAAAAAUUAAUCCAAAUUGAAAUUAUUCUCUCUCAAAAUUUCAAAAUAAAUUAUUAAGAAAAUAUUCAAGCAUUUUAAUCAGACAUACUAGAGCUGACCGAUGAUUUAACUAAUUAACUUUAAUAUAUAGAUAAACUGAGAUCCAUUCUCACCCUUUGUGUCAAGGUCAUAGAGUUUUCAGGGACCAAAACUGUAAUUUUUUAACAUUGGAGUUCCUAGGAAACAAUAAUGGGAUAAAUUAGUAGAAAUUAUUAGGAAGAUAAGGGCCGAGAUAAUUUAUUGUAAUUCCUUUCCAUAUAUUUAUUUUGGGGGGUGUCAUAUGAGACAUGUUGAUGUCUCCUCCUGGAACAAGUCUAUUUGUUUCUAAAACUCUUUAGGGGGGAGUGACUAGUUGGCCACCAGUGAGGAUUGGGCCCAGCUAGCCAUCAUAGGCCUACGGAGUCCCUAGAUAGUACCUCCACUCCUUGUAGAUCAUCCCCCCUAUCUACAAGUAGUGAGAGGACCAUUGCUAUAAUUGUGCAAUGACUAUUUUGCCCUUGAAAUAAAAUAAGUAGCCCAUUCGUUAAAUCUCGGUAUUGAGUUGCCAUGUUUGAUGUGCCGGUGUUGUUAUGAUUAUUCAUUGUUGAUAUUUGAUUGGAUAUUUGUGGCUUAACCCCGUUUUUAUGAUAACAAGACGGGAGGUCCUAACCCAAAUAUUUUAUUGUGCAGGUGUACGCCUGAAUUUAUUGGCUGACUUAGCUUGAAAGGAGUUCAAACCAGGUGCCGCUUGGUUCCAGGACAAUGUUAAAAUCUGAAACCGUGACAAUUGGUAUCAGAGCAAGAAAGAUCUGCGAGUAAUAUAAAUGAAUGACGAAAAAAAACUCUCAAAUGGAUGCCGUGGAUAAAAGGGUUGAAGAGUUGUUUGAUUGGGUAAAUGUGUAAUACCCGGUUAGAUUCCGGCAUCGGAAUCCCUACCUUCCGGCAAAAUCUUCGUUGGAAUUUGGAAUUUUGAUGAUGCCAAAGUCUUCUAGAAGGGUAAAAUGUGAUUUCUAAAAUGUUUUUACUGAUUUCAUGGUUUUAAAUGAAAAAGAAUUGAGUUCUUAAAGGAAUAGACCAAGGAGGCUUUUUGCCAGGUUCAGCCGCCGAAGGUUAAGUUCGGCCGCCAAACAUGGGAAGGCUUCGGGAGCGCCUUUGGCCUCCGAAAGCAUUGUUUGAGCGAGCCCAGGUUCGGCCGCCGAACAUGCAUGAGUUUAGGGGGCACGUUAGGCUGCCGAAGGUGGUUCAGCAGGCCAACUAUAAAGAGCCCUCAGAUCGGAAAUGGGCGAGUUUUCUCCCCAUUCUCGAGCUCAGGUGAGUUUUGGUCCUCCUUUGGUCGUUUUCAUGUUUUCCUCUACCCAUCCUUCAAGUUUUUAUGAGAUCUACCAUUUGUUUUGAAGUUUUGAAGUUUUGAUCAAGGUUUUGAGAGCUUGGAGACUUGUAGAGCUUGGGUCCUCCAUAUCUCAAGCUUUGGGUCACACCAACCCUCGAUCUUCAAGAGGUAAGUGUAGAUCCUUGCUUCUCUACUGUUUUAAAGAAGUUUUAGUAAGUUUAAUGAUGUUUUGAUGGUUGAGUAUGGGUAGAUAUGCAUGUUAGGGUUUAUGUGGGUUUUAUGCCCAAUGUAUGUUUUUGUGAUGUUAUGUUGAACGUUUAGGCUAGUUUAUGCAUGUGGGAGAGUGUAUGCAUGAUUGGGAAAGAGCAAGUGAGAUUAUGGGUUGUUUUGAUAGUUUUGGCCUAUGUGGGUCAUAAGAUAUCUAUAUAUGCUUUUGAUGUUAUUUUUGGAGUUUAAUCUAGUUAUUAAGCUCCUUUAUGCAUGUUUCAAGAGGUUGAAUGCUUGUUUUGGGGGGUUGGGAGGCUAGUAUGCACAAGGGCUGAGUUCUGGAAGAACUCAGUUUCGGCCGCCGAACCUGUCUAUGGAUGCAUGGAUUGGCCGCCAAACCUUGCCCCCGAAAGUUGUGUUUCGGAGCUGGAGCAGACUUUCGGCCAUCGAAGGUGAUGUUUGGCCGCUGAAAGUGCCUGACUUUCGUCUCUGGAGAGAGGGUUCGGCCGCCGAAGAUGCCCCCGAACCUACAUGACUUUCGUCUCUGGAAGGGACUUUCGGCCGCCGAAAGUGCCGCUGAAAGUGCCCUGUCCAGCCCUUUCAUGAGUGUUCUGUAUGCAUGUUUCUAUGAUAUUUUAGGGGUUUUUGGGGAGUUGUUUAUGAGUUGUUUAGAGUAUGUUUGGCACCUCAUUCGAGUCCACCUGUGUAGGAUCGGACCCGAGGAACCGAGGAGGCCAUCAGUGUUAGCAGUUGCAAAGUCAGUCCAGCGGCUGCCAGAGGUGAGUGGAACUAAACUUAAUGUUUUAAAUUAAGAAAUUAAAUGUUUUCAGAGCAUGAUUGUAACAGCUCGGAAACCGGUACCCCUCUGUAACGGUUCCAAACUGCUCGGCACUAGGAUCCAGAUCGGCUUAAGACCGCCUAGACCCGUAGUAAGCCUAACCUGAACUCUGUGUAACUGUUAAAAUCCCAUACAUGAUCCGACAUAACCUGACAGUCAUGAAAACUUUUCUUUUAAAACUACCAGACUUAACCUUAAAAACUCUGUCUGUAGGUUCAAUCAUAUAAACCUAAUGCUCAGACCAACUAAUCUGGAAUAACCCUUAGGGCUAUCUGGAAUACACCAGUGAUGCUCUACCAAGUAACCUCCAUGCACUAUGCCAGUAAACAUAGAACCCACCCUGUAGGGUUAGCAUAUCAUAAGUUAACUUGGCUACCAUAGAGUCACAGGAAUCAAACCUGGUCUUCUCUAUUGGCCUUUCUAUGGAUCACAGGAAUCAAACCUGGUCUUUCCUCUGCACUGGUCUUGGGUCAAGGGAAUUGAACCCUGUCUUCCCUCACAGUUAUGAUUCACUGGGUUUUCGAAACACAUCAUUUAUUAAGUCUGGUUUGACUCAUUUCUCAUCAAGAAACUUUAAAAACAGGAUACAUGCAUAUACUCAAGGGAUCAACAUACACUAUAGGCAAAAGCACAUUCUAACUCAUAAGCACAUUGACUUACUAUCUAUUCCAUCACUUUACAAAUCUCUUUAAUAUUACAUCAUGUCCACACUACUCUAUUACACAUGCAAUACUGAAAUCUACACUCUGCUGCUUCUCACUUCCCCACUACUCUGUACCUGCAAAACUGGGAUUACGGGAAAGAGAUGAGCUACUAAAGCCCAGUGAGUAGAAACACUAAAAACAGUUCAUUCAUACACACUUUAUAUGAAAAUUGCAACACAACUCAAACAUUCCACAUCUUGGAUUAGACAUGACCUCAAAACUCCCUCUGCGGGCUAUUGAUGUCGCCUUGGUCCAAUCCCCACUAUCAAUAAACAAUGCAAUGCAACAUCUUCGUGAUUCUAAUGAAAUCACCCUGUAUAAAUCAUAGCAUCCAUGAUGCAUGAACUAUGCUCAUACAUUUCCUUUACAGUAUUAAAAGAUUAAGUUUUGUUCUACUCACCUCUGCUCCUCUAGCAGAUACUGUACUGACUCUGCAAGCUCUAACUCUGAUGACCUCCUCGAUCUCUCGGGUCCAAGCCUACACAAAUGGACUCGAAUGAGGUGUCAAACAACUCUAUCAUAACUCUAACACAUCUCUAAGAACUUCCCCAAAAGCCGUCUAAAAGACCUUAAAACAAUCACAUAAAACAUGCAAAAGAAGGCUGGACAGGGCAGGUUCGGCGGCAGGUUCGGCGGCCGAAACUCCCCUCCAGAGACGAAACUCACCUGCUUUCGGCGGCCGAACCUCUACUUUCGGCGGCCGAAAGUCCUCUUACUACUCCUUCGGGUGCACCUUCGGCAUCCGAAAGUCUCGUCCAGAGAUGAAACUCAACCUUCGGCGGCACUUUCGGCGGCCGAACCUUCCCUCCAGAGACGAAAGUCCCAUUUUUCGGAGGCAACCUUAGGCAGCCGAAACCACCUCCUUAGCAUGUUCGGCGGCCGAACCCUCUUUCGGCGGCCGAAACUGGAUUUCCCAGUUAGGCAGAAACUUGUUCUGCCUCAUGCACAACUCCUCCCAAACUCACUCAAACAUGCAUCAAACAUAACUCAACCAGCAUAUGCUCACAUAUAUGCACAAAGGGGUCCAAAACUAACUUAAAACCCCAAACAACAACUCAAACACAUCACUUAACAUGCAUAUACACAAAACUCACAUAAAACCUACUAAACCUUCACAUGCAUUUCUACCCAUAAAAACUCCAUAAAACCUUUAGAAAUUAUGUUAGAAGCCAUGGAUCUAUACUUACCUCUUGAAGAACUAGAGGAUGAAGGAUCCUAACGUGGAGAUAUGGAGAAAUCCUCUCUCAAACUCCCUAAGCUUCUAAACUUUGCUCUUUUGCUAAAAAGCUCCAAAACAACAUAAAACUCAUUAAAACUUUGAAUGAUUUGAAGGAAACAUGAAAAUCACCCAAGGAGAACCUCAGCCUCACCUCUGGUUGGCAAAAAUGGAAAAAGUGAUCCAAAUCACCGACCUUUGACCAUUUAUAGGUGGCUGGCCAAACCACCUUCGGCGGCCAAACGUGAAGCCGAAUGCCAUGCAAUGUUCGGCGGCCGAAAGUGACCUUCGGCGGCCGAACCCUUGCAUUUCUCCCUUGUUGCUUUUCAUUCAAAAACUCAUCCGUUAAACACUUAAAAACAUUAAAACAUGUUAAAAUACAUUAGAAAACCUAUGCAUUACCCUUCUAGAGGAUUCCGACCCCGAGAUUCCACCGGACUACAGGGAUUCCGAUGCCGGACUCUAGCCGGGUAUUACAAUGAUCCACACAUCAUAAAAUGCCAUGAUAUGUAGUAGGUUGUAUUGCACUAGUAUUCACGAAUAUGAUGCAUUGCAUAAUAUGUUGUUGAUGUGGUUGAAUCUUGAAUGAUCCUUUAGCCCUCAGUACGAUAAUGAAAUGAUAUGAUAUGACAUGGUAUGAUAUGAGAUAGAAAGACCAGGUCGCCCCUGGCACUAUGAUAAAUGUAAGUGAACACUAGGUGAGGCCUAAUCGCCCCUGGUGUAGUUGGACAUGUUAUGACAUGAGUUAUGUAAGCGAAUACUAGGUGUGGCCUCAUCGCCCCUAGUAUAGUUGGACAUAUUACGGUAUGUAGAGGGCUAUUGGUGACAAAUUCAUCCUUGAUGUGAUAUGUUUGUGAUGUGAUGCAUUCCAUGAUAGCAUACUUUAAAAUGAACUGUAUUUCUUGCUUGGUUUUCGCUCACUGGGCUUUAUAGCUCACCCCUCUCCCCUAACCCCAGGUUUGCAGGGUCAGAGAUAGUUCAGGAAGUCACCAAGCUAUGGCUAUGGUUUUGAUAUGUAAUAGAAUAGUAUUGGACAUGAUGUAAUGUAAGCUUGUGUAAUGAUGUAAAAGAGUUGUAUUGUAAAAUGAUUUCAUGUAAUAUGAUCAGAGUUUUAGCAUUGUGCUUGGCCCGAGUUGGAUAAUCCCUUUGUACAUGAGUUUUAUUUUCCUUAUAUUUAUAUUUGUAUUGGACCGAGUUUGACUUAGGGUAUGCUGACCCUAGAGGUUCUAUGAGUUCAGUCAUAGUGCAUACACAGGUCAAGCUGGGUAAAGGUAAAGUUUUUAAUUAUUUUAUGAGAUAUUGUUCAUAUUUGGGAUUAUACCGACUGUACAGGAUGCAUAGUAGGCUUGCUAUGGGUCCCGGCGGCCUUAUGCCGAUCUGGAUCCUAGCGCCGGUAGCGGUCCGGAUUUCCGGGUCGUUACAGAAUGGUAUCAGAGCCCUAGGUUCACAUGGUCGGACCUAUAGUGUGUCGGGCUCAUAGAGGUUAUAGAAGGGCAAGCACAAUAGGAAGAUCAUGUCCACUAGGAUAGGAGGUGGAGUCAUGUCUUGUAUGAUGAUGCGAAAUGCCAUGAUGAUAUGCAUGUGCAUUAAUGUUAUGCUAUGUGUGUGAUGUAUGUGAGGUAGGUUCAUGUGUUUCCACAUGAACCGUAUGAUGCUAAUGUUUAUGUGAUAUGUUAUGUUUUCAGAAGUCAAGAUGAGAGGAACUCGUCGAUCUGCUAGAUUGACUGGAGCUCCGCCAGAGAAUGAGGGCAUGGAUGCCCAUUCCCUUGCUCUGCAGAGGGCAAGAUCUUGUAGGACAAUCAGGGAAGGCACAUCAAGGGACCCUAGAAAGUCUUUUGAUGCAAGUCGGAGGAGAUCAGUUCAUGAUGGUAUAUCAGUGGAUGUGAUGGAAUCAGAGGAGGAUAACCAGAGAAGAGAUAGCAGUUUGGGCAUGAGUAUGUUAGAAGAGGAUAUGGGAGAGUCCCAAGGAGGCACUCAGGCCUCGGGCUUUGUUCCACCACAGUAUCCACCCUACCCGCAAGGGGCGGGGUAUCCGAUGGGAGGUACAUCGGAUUUCUUUAGCUAUAACCCAUAUCCCACCUUUAUGCCCUAUCCUCCCUUUUACCCACCGUACCCACAGUACCCCGUGUUUCCAUCCUCAUCUUUUUACCCAGGUCCAGCAAACCCUAACCCAGAGAAUGCUGCACCUCCUCCUCCACCAGCAGAGCCAAUUGUCCCUGAUGUCCAGAUACCCAAACCUGGUUCAUCAGUUGGGGGUAAAGUAAAUAUGACAGAUUACUUAAAGUUGGGUGCCCCCAAGUUUGAAUUAGGUGAUGACCCUUUUGAGUACCUCAGAACGGUGAAGAUGAUAACUGAUGAGUUGGGAGCAAGUGACAGUAGAGCCAUUCAGAUGGCAGGGUUCACAUUGCAAUGCAAGAAGGCAAGAGAAUGGUUCAAAAACUAUAUGGACCCAAGGUUGGAAGGCUUAUCCUGGGAGCAGUUUGCCAAUGAGUUUGCAGGAUGGGCAUUUCCAGAUAGUUCUAGAGAAUUGAAGAUGAUCGAGUUCGAGCAGCUAAGGCAAUCGGAAGAGAUGGGUGUAGAUGAGUUUACAGACAGGUUCCUGGAGCUGUUGUCGUUUGCAGGACAAGGUCUUGACACAGACCUGAAGAAGUCUAGGAGAUAUGUUAUGAAGCUUCACUCCAGGUAUUCCUCGUUGAUUCAAUCAGUAGAAAGGGAGAGUUUCCAUGCUAUAGUGGAUAUAGCACGGAAAAUGGAGGCUAGUGCCAUCAUUCAAGGGACAGUUAAACAGUAUGUGGCACAGUCUUCGGGUUCCAAAGUUCCGGGGACAAGUGAUGUUAAUCUCUCCCCUCUGAGCGAGGCUGUCACAGAGAGGAAGAAGGGAGGCAGAGGCCUCAGAAGAACCAAGAAGAGCAAGUUCUGGGAUCAGAUAAAGUUUGGUUUGGGUUUAGGUGAUGGUUCGAGCUCUAGUUCGGGUAACUCCAGAUGUACGCGAUGCGGUAGGCCGCACAAGGGAGUCUAUUUGAUUGGGACUACGGCAUGCUUCAGGUGCGGACAGGAGGGGCACAUGGCACGUGAGUGUCCCACUGCGACCUUGUUGGCAUAGUCCCAGCAAACAGUUUCAGGCAGUGUAGCUCACCCAGUAGCUCCACCCAUGGCGCAGGGCAGAGGCAGAGGAAGAGGGAUAGCUCCUUCUUCAGCAGGUUCCCCAAGUGAAGGUCCAUCAGCUCCAGCACGGAUCUUCACUAUGACCCAGCAGGAGGCUAACACAUCGAACCCGAUGGGAUCAGGUAAUCUCACUCUGGUAUGUUCUGAUGUGUAUGUUUUAUGAACCCUGAUGUUUCUCUUUCUUUGUUUGCUUUGUGAGCCUUUUGGAGAUUGGGCUUGAUAGCUUAUAGGUUAGAGUAUCCCCUUUGGGUCGGUGGACCCAAGUGUGAUCCAUCAGUGGCAGAGUCAGUCUGCCGGUAUAGUUCAGAGUAUGUUGUGAGUAGAUGCCUUCUAGCUGACCUAGCGGUUCUAGAUUUGAUUGUUUGACGUCAUUCUAGGGUUGGAUUGGUUCUUCUACUAGUGGUACUACCUAAGUCUGCAGAGACAAGGUGGUCAAGUUCAGAGGUCUGGAUGGAUCAGAGGUAGUCCUUAGAGAGGACAGAGUAGGGAUACCUAGAGGUUUGUUAUCGGCCCUAUAGGCUCGUAUGUUUCUCAGGAGAGGUUGUCAGGGGUUUCUAGUUUUUGUGAGAAUGCAUAGCAGUCAGGUCAGGGAGCCGCCUCAGUGCCCGUAAUCAGAAAAGUUCGUAGAUGUUUCCCAGACAAGUUCCCAGGACUACCGCCUGUCAGGGAGAUAGAGUUCAAAAUAGAAGUAAUGCAUGGAAUUGGACCAAUCUCUAUCUCUCCCCACAGGAUGGUAUCAACAAAGUUGAAAGAGUUGUAAGGAUCAGUUGCAAGAGUUGGUAGACAAGGGUUCCCAUCUAAUUGAGCACUUCGCCUUGGGGUGUUCCAGUAUUGUUAUAAGGAUGAAGGAUGGAUCCCUAGGACUUUGUAUCGACUACAAGUCGUUGAACAAAGUCACUACCCAGAAUAAGUAUUUGUUACCUUGGAUCGACGAUCUACUUUGAGCCAGCUAGCAGGAGCUGGUUGCCUUUCCAAAAUAGAUAUGAAGUCUAGGUACCAUCAGUUAAGAUCAAGGAAGAAGAUGUACAGAGAACAGUGUUUAGAACCAGAUAUGGGCACUAUGAGUUUCUAGGAAUGUCGUUCGGGUUAAUGAACGCCCCUACAACAUUCAUGGAUCUCAUACGCAGAGUUGUAGUCAGUUUCUAGAUCACUCCGUUAUUGUCUUCAUUGACGGUACCUCGGUGAGUUCCAGAAAUACAGAAGGGUAUGCCCAUUAUCUGAGGUCAGGAUCGCAGAUCCUGAGAGAACAUGGCUUGAAUGCCCAGUUCUCCAAAUGUGAGUUUCGGUCGAGGAGCAUACCUUUCUUGGGUCAUGAUAUGUCGGGAAAGAAGAGAAAAGUGAGGUAGACCCGAGAAAGUUGAAGUUGUAGCUGACUAGCCCAGGCCCAUUAUCGUGUCAAAGAUCAAGAGCUCCUUGGGUUGGGCCGGUUACCUACUGGAAGUUCAUCCAGAACUUCCCUAGAGUUGCCGCUCCUAUGACCAGAUGGAUCAAGAAGAACCAGAGGGUUGUGUGGUCUUUUCAGUGUGAAGAGAGCGUUGAAGAGCCGAAGGAAAUGUUGAUGACAGCACCAGUGGUGGCUCUGUCCGCCAGUAAUGAAGAUGUCACAGUGUCUGGUGAUGCGUCCCGGGUGGAACUAGAUUGUGUGUAAAUGUAAGAUGGUAGGAUGAUUACUUAUGCUUCUAAGUAGCUGAAGAAGCAUGAGUUGAGUCAUCCUACACAUGAUCUAGAGAUGGAAAUGGUAAUCCUUGCACACAAGAUGUGGAGGCGAUGCCUGUAUAAGGUAUGAUGACAGAUCCUUACGGAUCGAUAGAGCUUGCAAUGCAUCUUGAGUCAAGGGAGAUGAACAAGAGGUAUAGGUGAUGGGUAAAAACUGCGUAGUGGUUAUGACUUCAAGGUUCGAUACGGGUGAGGCAAAUAUUUUUGAUAGAUGCCUUCAACCGGAAACCACUUGACAACUAUCCCGUCCCUUAGUGCAGUAAGAAGAAGAUCAGUAACCAAAGAAUGAGAAGAAUCAGAACUGCUGUGAGUCAGCAGGAGAGUUAUGAAGUUGUCCGCAAGAGGCAUGUAAGGUUUCAGAAGCGAGAAGAGUUUUGUCAGAGUGCGCCGCGGAAGCAUGUUGAGGUUUGCUGGAGGUGUCUCCUAAAGAGAGGAUGAUUCGUUAUGGGCAAAAAGGUAAAUUUGCUCUCAAAUACAUUGGACCCUUGAAAUCCUGCAAAGGAUUGGGAAUGUAUCCUACGAGUUAGAUUUACCUACUUCAAAGGAAGAGCUCCAUCCGUUUUUCCAUGUUUCCACGGUAUAUGAAUUCGUGUCGGGUCCGAGUGAGGUUCUGGAAAGAACCAGAGGUGGAGAUCAUAGAGGAUCUCACCUAUGUUGAGCAGUUAGUACGGACCGCAGACACACAAGUUAGAAAGUGUGGAAACAAGGAAAUCCCGAUGGUGAAAAUCCCUUAGAAUCACCUUAAGAUGGAAAAGUGCACCAGGGAGAACGAGAGUUCCUACUCCAGUGAUACCGUGUUUCUCUAUAGACUAGAGUUUAUGUAUUGUUAUGAUUGUGCUUAUGUUGUGUUUAUGUUUGUGCCUAUUUGUUUGAACAUUCGAGGACGAAUGUUCUUAAAGGGGGGAAGAAUGUAAUACCCGGUUAGAUUUCGGCAUCGGAAUCCCUACCUUCCGGCGGAAUCUCCGUUGGAAUUUAGAAUUUUGAUGAUGCCAGAGUCUUCUAGAAGGGUAAAAUGUGAUUUCUAAAAUGUUUUUACUGAUUUCAUGGUUUUAAAUGAAAAAGAAUUGAGUUCUUAAAGGAAUAGACCAAGGAGGCUUUUUGCCAGGUUCGGCCGCCGAAGGUUAAGUUUGGCCGCCGAACAUGGGAAGGCUUCGGGAGCGCCUUUGGCCUCCGAAAGCAUUGUUUGAGCGAGCCCAGGUUCGGCCGCCGAAUCUCAAGUUCGGCCGCCGAACAUGCAUGAGUUUAGGGGGCACGUUAGGCUGCCGAAGGUGGUUCAGCAGGCCAACUAUAAAGAGUCCUCAGAUCGGAAAUGGGCGAGUUUUCUCCCCAUUCUCGAGCUCAGGUGAGUUUUGGUCCUCCUUUGGUCGUUUUCAUGUUUUCCUCUACCCAUCCUUCAAGUUUUCAUGAGAUCUACCAUUUGUUUUGAAGUUUUGAAGUUUUGAAGUUUUGAUUAAGGUUUUGAGAGCUUGGAGACUUGUUGAGCUUGGGUCUUCCAUAUCUCAAGCUUUGGGUCACACCAACCCUCAAUCUUCAAGAGGUAAGUGUAGAUCCUUGCUUCUCUACUGUUUUAAAGAAGUUUUAGUAAGUUUAAUGAUGUUUUGAUAGUUGAGUAUGGGUAGAUAUGCAUGUUAGGGUUUAUGUGGGUUUUAUGCCCAAUGUAUGUUUUUGUGAUGUUAUGUUGAACGUUUAGGCUAGUUUAUGCAUGUGGGAGAGUGUAUGCAUGAUUGGGAAAGAGCAAGUGAGAUUAUGGGUUGUUUUGAUAGUUUUGGCCUAUGUGGGUCAUAAGCUAUCUAUAUAUGCUUUUGAUGUUGUUUUUGGAGUUUAAUCUAGUUAUUAAGCUCCUUCAUGCAUGUUUCAAGAGGUUGAAUGCUUGUUUUGGGGGGUUGGGAGGCUAGUAUGCACAAGGGCUGAGUUCUGGAAGAACUCAGGUUCGGCCGCCGAAGGUGGUUUCGGCCGCCGAACCUGCCUAUGGAUGCAUGGAUUGGCCGCCAAACCUUGCCCCCGAAAGUUGUGUUUCGGAGCUGGAGCAGACUUUCGGCCGCCGAAGGUGAUGUUCGGCCGCCGAAAGUGCCUAACUUUCGUCUCUGGAGAGAGGGUUCGGCCGCCGAAGGUGCCCCCGAACCUGCAUGACUUUCGUCUCUGGAAGGGACUUUCGGCCGCCGAAAGUGCCGCCGAAAGUGCCCUGUCCAGCCCUUUCAUGAGUGUUCUGUAUGCAUGUUUCUAUGAUGUUUUAGGGGUUUUUGGGGAGUUGUUUAUGAGUUGUUUAGAGUAUGUUUGGCACCUCAUUCGAGUCCACCUGUGUAGGAUCGGACCCGAGGAACCGAGGAGGCCAUUAGUGUUAGCAGUUGCAGAGUCAGUCCAGCGGCUGCCAGAGGUGAGUGGAACUAAACUUAAUGUUUUAAAUUAAGAAAUUAAAUGUUUUCAGAGCAUGAUCCAUACAUCAUAAAAUGCCAUGAUAUGUAGUAGGUUGUAUUGCACUAGUAUUCACGAAUAUGAUGCAUUGCAUAAUAUGUUGUUGAUGUGGAUGAAUCUUGAAUGAUCCUUUAGCCCUCAGUACGAUAAUGAAAUGAUAUGAUAUGACAUGGUAUGAUAUGAGAUAGAAAGACCAGGUCGCCCCUGGCACUAUGAUAAAUGUAAGCGAACACUAGGUGAGGCCUAAUCGCCCCUGGUGUAGUUGGACAUGUUAUAACAUGAGUUAUGUAAGCGAAUACUAGGUGUGGCCUCAUUGCCCCUAGUAUAGUUGGACAUAUUACGGUAUGUAGAGGGCUAUUGGUGACAAAUUCAUCCUUGAUGUGAUAUGUUUGUGAUGUGAUACAUUCCAUGAUAACAUACUUUAAAAUGAACUGUAUUUCUUGUUUGGUUUCCGCUCACUGGGCUUUAUAGCUCAUCCCUCUCCCCUAACCCCAGGUUUGCAGGGUCAGAGAUAGUUCAGAAAGUCACCAAGCUAUGGCUAUAGUUUUGAUAUGUAAUAGAAUAGUAUUGUACAUGAUGUAAUGUAAGCUUGUGUAAUGAUGUAAAAGAGUUGUAUUGUAAAAUGAUUUCAUGUAAUAUGAUCAGAGUUUUAGUAUUAUGCUUGGCCCGAGUUGGAUAAUCCCUUUGUACAUGAGUUUUAUUUUCCUUAUGUUUAUAUUUGUAUUGGACCGAGUUUGACUUAGGGUAUGCUGACCCUAGGGGUUCUAUGAGUUCAGUCAUGUGCAUACACAGGUCAAGCUGUGUAAAGGUAAAGUUUUUAAUUGUUUUAUGAGAUGUUGUUCAUGUUUGGGAUUAUACCGACUGUACAGGAUGCAUAGUAGGCUUGCUACGGGUCCCGGCGGCCUUUUGCUGAUCUGGAUCCUAGCGUCGGUAGCGGUCCGGAUUUCCGGGUCAUUACAAAAUGAGUGCCCAACCCAGGAUGGGAUGUCCCUUGCUUUUGAGCAGUGAUAUAAGCGCAUUAAGGCGCUAGAAAAGAUGAAUGCCGACCUAGAAAAGAAAAAUGAAUACCUUCUAGCAAUGGUAGCCAGAUUCUUUAGGACUGAGGGUGGGCCAAAAGAGUCUGAGGCCACCCAGUAUCCUAUGAAGGGAAAUAGGGGUGAGGAUGUGCUAAGAGAGCAUGAGGCCAUCCAAAAUCCUGCCAAUAGAAGUAGGGAUGAGGAUGUGCCAAUAGAGCUUGAGGCCAUCCAAGAUCCCGCCAAGAAAAGUAGAGGUGAGGGUGUGCCAAUAGAGAAUGAGGCCACCCAAAAUCAUAGUGAGCGAUUUCGGGGAAAGGGUAGGCCAAUAGAGCUUGAGGCCUCCUGGCGCCUGAAAUGUUCUCGUGAUGCCCGAUUGGGUAACUUGGAAAGCAGAGUUGUUGAGUUGGAGGCAGUGGCCUCUCAUGGGAGAGAGAUUAUGGGAAAAUUUAAGUCCUUUUCGGCUUCCCAUGAUAAGCUCACAGGGACGGUUGAUGAGUUCAAAGAGGGUGUUAAAGAGUCAGUUAAUGACAUUAGUAAUGAAGUACAGUUUCUAAAAAGUGAAGUGAAGGUAUUAAUGAGAGUUGCUAGCGAGCCAACACCAAAAGCCUCUAGGUUGACUGAGUCCAAAGUUCCAUAGCCAAAGGCUUUUGGAGGGGUCCGGGGUGCUAAAGAGGUAUAGAACUUCUUCUUUGAUAUGGAGUUAUUCUUCAAGGUUACAAAAUGUAAAUCUGAGGAGGAAAGGUUAGAGGUGGUACCUUUGUAUCUGAUAGACGAUGCAAAACUAUGGUGGAGGAAUAGAGUGGCAGAUGCAAGGGGCGGUCAAUAUGCAAUUAAUUCUUAGGAUCUCUUUAAGAAGGAAUUAAAGGCUCAAUUCUACCUGGAGAAUGUGUCUCUGAAUGCCCGAUGGAAGCUAGAGGAGUUGCAACAAACUGGUUCAGUUAGGGAUUAUAUGAGGGAGUUCCUAGCACUAAUGCUAAAUAUAAAAAACAUGGACGAGGAGGAUAAAUUUUAUAACUUUAUGAAAGGGUUGAAACCCUGGGCUCGAAGUGAGUUGAUGAGGCAACAAGUGAGAGAAGUCAACGCAACUGUAGCCGCUGUAGAAAGCUUGGAUGACUUUGUUGGCAAUGAGUUUAGAAGGAAGCUUAGUUCCUCAAUCGACCAAGGUAGUCGCUCAAAUAAGUGGACCAAGGCAAUAAGUGGGGGAGUGGACCAAAGUGAUUGGCGCGCCAUUGGGGCAAACACAUACCAAGCAAGUAAUGUUGGGAAAAGUCCGCAUGUUGAGGGAACACAGAGUGUCUCAAAUAAGGCCUCAGUGGUCCAACGCCAACCGGUAAGGUGUUACUUAUGUAACAGGCCACACCGUUUUACAGAGUGUCCUCAUAAAAAGGCCUUGAAUGUACUGAGGGCGAUCCAAGGAGAUGAGGAUGAUGCGGGAGAAGGGGAACCUGGUGCUGAAGUCAAAGAUCCACACAAGUUAGGUGCAUUGCGCUCCAUAGAAGUUGUGGAAAGGCAAAAUAGGGGGCGUGCUGUAGAGAAAGGGUUGAUGUACGUAGACAUAUGGAUUAAUGGAGAAGAAAUAGAGGCCUUGGUGGAUACAGGAGCUACUGAAAAUUUUAUGGCAUAUACUUUAGCCAUAAGGUUGAAGUUGAUGGUGCAGAAAACUAUUGGGAAGGUGAAGGCGGUUAACUCCAAGGCUCUGGACAUGGGGGGAAUGGCUCUUGGUGUAUCGUGUCAACUGAGCAUGUGGAAGGGAAUAAUGGAUUUCACAAUAACUCCACUCGAUGACUUCAAAGUGGUGAUUGGAAUACAAUUCCUUCGAGCUGCUCGCAUGAUCCCUAUUCCUGCCGCAAAUUGUUUAGUGAUGUUGGGGGCAGAAACAUGUUGUAUUCCCAUAAGGAGGAGUCCAAGAGUUCGAAGUGAGAUUGUCUAGACUGUUGCCCCUAAAUAUCAACUCCCAAAGGGGUGUGUGGAGUACUAACAAGAAUAAGUGGUCGGAUGAGUUAGUUGUCAACGAUGUAUUGUUAUGGUUUACUUUUGGGAACCACUUGGUAGGAGAAGGAGAAUUAAGAAUUUUAUGCUCUAUUUUAGUUUCCUUGUUUUGCAAUAAAAGCAGUUUCCUUUCUUCAUAGUAUUAGAAAGUAGGUGCAGCGAACUAGUUGAAUAACUAAUAGAAUAUUAUUAUUUAUCUUUGUUUUUGUAUACUUUGGUUAUUAAUUGUUUGAGUAUAACCUUGCUAUUGAUGGGUUUCUUUUGAGCUUCAUGCAUAUUAAUGGUUUUCGACAGAUUCCGCAGUUUGGGAGUUGGUGAUAACGUGUGAAAGCUAAGGAAAUAGAGGUAGAAGAGCGAAAGCAAACCCGGAUGUGGAGAGUUGAAAGGAGGUGGCGAGGAUAAACUCAGAGUCGUGGGGUUGGAGCAACACCCUGCCCAUGGGUGCUUACCAGUGUCAGGGGAGAUGUUGCAAAAUCGCCAAUCACCUAGAAGUAGGGAACAACAACGCUAGAAAAAGAAUUCACAACCUUAGUUCGAUCGUAUCGAAGAUUGAAGACCAACUGCCAGCCCUCAUUGCAAAAAAUUGAAGUGGGAGAAAUCCAAUCAACACGACAAAUUUCGACGAGAAUAACGCGUCCGACAUCCAAUAGUCUGUCAAACAACAAUCGUGGCGCUAAGAAUCGUCCAUAUAAAGCUCUAUCAAAAUGAGAAGACAGAGUCAAAUGUUCAAGCAAAGAUUCAAGACCGUUGUCACCCUCAGUCGAUGAGGACGUCGACUGUUUAAAUGGGGAGUGUCAGGGUCAUAGAGUUUUUAGGGACCAAAACUGUAAUUUUCCAACAUUGGAGUUCCUAGGAAACAAUAAUGGGAUAAAUUAGUAUAAAUUAUUAGGAAGAUAAGAGCCAAGACAAUUUGUUGUAAUUCUUUUCCAUGUAUUUAUUUUGGUGGGUAUCAUAUGAGACAUGUUGAUGUCUCCUCCUGGAACAAGUCUAUUUAUUUCUAAGGCUCUUUAGGGGGGAGUGACUAGUUGGCCACCAGUGAGGAUUAGGUCCAGCUAGCCAUCGUAGGCCUAUGGAGUCCCUAGAUAGUACGUCCACUCCUUGUAGAUCAUCCCCCAAUCUACAAGUGGCGAGAGGACCGUUGAUAUAAUUGUGCAAUGACUAUUUUGCCAUUGGAAUAAAAUAAGUAGCUCAUUCGUUAAAUCUCGGUGUUGAGUUGCCAUGUUUGAUGUGCUAGUGUUGUUAUGAUUAUUCAUUGUUGAUAUUUGAUUGGAUAUUUGUGGUUUAACCCCGUUUUUAUGAUAACAAGACGGGAGGUUCUAACUCAAAUAUUCUUUUGUGCAAGUAUAUACCUAAAUUUAUUGGUUGACUUAACUUAAAAGGAGUUCAAAUUAGGUGCCGCUCGAUUUCAAGACAGUGCUAAAAUCUGAAACCGUGAGACUUUGUUUGGAUUUAGAAAACGGAGAGAGGAGUAAAUAUUUUUUUUAAUUAUUUUUUUGAGUUGAUAAAUGGUGGAUAAAUGGAGAUGAAAGAGGAGAGAUAGGGAUAUGAUGCCCGGUUCUUUAAUUACGAAGGGUAAUAUUGUCUUUUCACAUUAAACUAAUAGAAACUGUUAAUACAUAUUAACAGAAGGAUCUUUUAAUUGGAUUUAAAAAAAAUAUAUAUUUAUGCGUAAGUAAAUACUGAUAUAAUCCUUAAUUUAAAAUUUUAAUUUUAAAUAUAAAAUAUAAAUUAAAAAAUUUUAAAAUUUAAAAUUUAAACUAAAAUAUAUUUUUCCGUCAAUAAAAGAAUUUUGAAUUUUUAAAUUUAAAAAUAAAAAGUGACUAUUCGUUAAAGAUUUUCAUUAAGCUGGCUAUGAAUUUCAAAUAAGUUAAUAUUAUCAUUUCAAGUUCUUACCUUUAAAACUUUUAUAUUUAUCUUCUUCUCUAAUUUUCUUUCCUUAUUUAUUUUCCCUAUAUUCAAAUAUAAGAUAAAAGGAAGAAUAUAUAAUAAUUUCAAAUUCAUUGAUUAUGAAGAUAAAAUUAAUUACAAAUUAAUUUAAUAUAUUUUAGUUAUAAAAAUAUAAAAUAACAAAACAAAAUUUUUAAAUUACUUUUUUCUAAUAACAUCCAAAAUUAUUUAAAAAAAAUCUCAAAUUGACCUACCAAAUGAGAUAUUAUGAAACAUGAAAAUGGAGUUCCAGAGAGAUCAUUAAUAUUUUAAUGCUGAAGAUUCAAGGGAACUUCCAAGAAACAAAAAUGGGGAUUGAUGACCGCGAGCACUAUUUGGUUUAAACUAAAAAAUCGAUCAAAUCGAAUUAAUUUUAAAAUUCAAUUCGAUUUUUUAUUCAAUUUGAUUCGGUUUGGCUUUUAAUUUUAAAAAUUUCAGUUAUUUUGAUUUGAUUCAGUUUUAAUUAGAAAAAAAUCAAAAAAACCGAAUUGAGUCGAUUAAUGAUAAUAAUAUGUUAUUUUUAAUAAUAUAAAAAAAUUAAAUUAUAUUAAGAUUAAAAUAUUUUAAUUAAAUUUUAAAAUAUUAAAAAUAAAAUGUAAAAAAUAAAAAAUUUAUUAAAAAUCAAAAUCGAUCAAACAGUACCGAAUCGAACUAAAUCAGACCGGUUCAGUUCGAUUCGGUUUUUGAUCAAAAUCGAUUCGAUUUGAUUUUUAUAAAUACUAAAAUUUCAAUUUUUGAUUUAUUCGAUUCGGUUCGAUUUUGAACCGAACCAACCGAAUGCUCUACCAUGAGAUGGAGAGGGAAAGGGAGAGAAAGUGAGAAGGAAAGUUCUUAUAUAGAGAUCGUACAGAGCAGUAGGUGCAGUAUCACGUUCACACUGUCAAUAGAACACUAAGCAACAAGCGUCUUAUCUGUUUGUAUACAUUAUGGAAGGCAUUGUUUGGUUCUGCUAUUUUGAAAAGAGAGAAGAAAAGGUAAGAAUAUAUGUUAUUGAAGGGAACAGAAAACCUUUUCAAACCGCACAUUCACUUCAAAUCCGUUUCUAAGGUCAGAAGAUUAAAAUUAAAAUUAAUAGUCCGUGUUAAUUAAUAAAGAGCUAGGUUAUAAAUUUAGGGUUUUGGUUCUUCCUUUUGAUGUUGAUUCUUAAAGGAAUAGCAACAUUAUCAAAAGGCCAAGUCUUGCAGCUUUUGCUUUCUCUUUUAAUAUUUUUUAAUGGAAAAUUAUUUUUUAGUCACUGAGGUUUAACGUAAUUAACACUUCUGUCCCUCUAUUUUGGCGAUCCAACACUUAAGUCCCUCAUUUUUUUUUCCGUCCAAAUUCGUAGUCCUUCCGUCCAUUUAAACCGUUUGGUCAAAAAGUCAAAGGUGAGAUGUUAUAAUUUUUUUCAAAAAUACCCUUCUUUCAAUGUGAAAUCUCUAUUUUUUUCUCUUUCAUGUUUUCUUCAGUUGCAGAAAUGGAUGGAAGAAGAAGAAGAAGAAGAAGAAGAAGAAGAAGAAGAAGAAGUUACAGAAAUAGUAGGAAGAAGAAGUUGUAGAAAUGGUAGGAAGAAGAAGAAAGAAGAAGAAGAAAGAAGAAGAAGAAGAAAGAAGAAGAAGAAGAAGAAGAAGAAGAAGAAGAAAUUGCAGAAAGGAUAGGAAGAAGAAGAAAUUGCAGAAAGGGUAGGAAGAAGAAGAAAAAGUUGCAGAAAAGUUGCAGAAAUGGUAGGAAGAAGAAGUUGCAGAAAUGGUAGGAAGAAGAAGAAAUAAGAAGAAGAAGAAGAAGAAGAAGAAGAAAUUGCAGAAAGGAUAGGAAGAAGAAGAAAUUGCAGAAAGGGUAGGAAGAAGAAGAAAAAGAGGCAUUUGGAUUUGAGUUUUGUGAUUUUGAAAUAGCAGGAUUUUUAGAGGGUUAAUUUUAUCAAUUCAUGUGUUCCAAACGGCUAUUUUGAACGGAAGGACUACGAAUUUAAACAGAAAAGAAAGUGAAGGACUUAAGUAUUGGAUCGCCAAAAUAGAGGGAUAAAAUUAUUAAUUACAUUAAAUCUCAAAAAUUAAAAAGUAAUUUUUCCUUUUUUAAUCUAUCCGCCCAUUUUCAAUGGUGGCUGAGCUUUAAAAAACGAAAGGACAAUUAUGAAUUUUUAAAAAAAUUAAAAUUAACGAUGAAAAAUAUAAAUUUAAAUUAAAAUUUUAAAUUAAUUCGAUCCGAUUCAUAAAUUGAUGCUUGGGUGAAACCGAAAAAUUCAUCAAAUCAAUGGAAUUGAAGAUGGUGAAAUUUACCACACAUGCUGUCUACCAAAAGCCGCAAUUGUCGCAGCAUCAUGUUAAGAAGGACAAGGCUCUGGUUUUUCUUGCUUUUAAAAGGGUGAAAUUUACCAGUAUGCUAUUUCUGAUAAAAUGGACAUAUUGUGUUUGGCCAUAUCCAUUAUUUUAAAUUUAUUUGCAAAUUGAGAGCUUCCAUGAUUUGCUCUCCAAUUGUCCUUUCAUUUCGUUGAAAUAUAUGACAAUGAUUGCUGGUCAAUUUUUUAAAAUCUAUUUUUUAAAUAACUUAAUUUUUUUGAAUUAAAUUAAAUUUAUUUAAAUUAUCAAAUUCAUUAUCAAUCAAUUUAUUGGUUUUGUAAAUUAUUUGGGUCUUUUACACUGUAUUUAGAUUGAGAAAAAUAACAAUGGAGUAAAAAUUAAAAGAAAAUAAUUUUAUUUUUUAUCAAUACAUAUUUAAAUUAGAUGAAAUUGAGGAAAAAAUAAAAUUUUAAUAGAAAAAUAAAAUUUAUAUUCGAUCCACUGAUUCCUCCAGAAAAAGUUGGACGGAUUUUUUAAAAAUGAUUAAAAUAUUUAUAUAUUUUAUAAGUUUUUUUGAAAAUUUAAGUAUAUAAUUAUAACUUUAUCAUUCAAAAAAACUAUUUUCUUUCUAAUAUUUAUCUUCUUUCAUCUAAAUACAACUAUAAUAAAUUAUUUUUCCUCCCAAUCAUUAUCUCUUUUUAUUUUUUUUUAUUAUUUUCUUUCCAUUUAUCCAAACACAAUAAGCUGCUCGUUUAAACAGUGACGUGAUAUAUUUUUUAAAAUAAAAUUUAUAUUAUAUUUUUUUAUUGUAUUAAAUUUAAUUAUUAAAAAAUAAAUAUUUAAUAUUAAAUUUGUUACUCUAAAAUUGAAAAAUUAUGUUUGUUGUAUAAAUCACUUGAUAUGUUAAUAAAAGGUCCUUUCAGCAUAAAUGUGAAACAAGUCCGUCUUAUUGGACACCAGUUCAAAAACCACAAAAAUCACUAAAUUUCUUUAUUUGAAUUCAUUUUUAUUAUUAUAAUUAAAAAGGAAUGUAGGUAAAAAUAAAUGGUUUUUUUAAAUUUAAUUAUUAAAAAAUAAAUAUUUAAUAUUAAUUUUUUUAUUUUUAAAAAUUAAAAGACUUCAUUUCAUUUAUUGAUUGAAUUUGUUGAAAAAACUAUCUAAUAAUUUAUAUAAUAAAAAUAAUAUUUUAUAGAAAAAAAUUUAAUAUUAAAUAUUUAAUUUUUAUUCAGCAUCUCCAACACUUAUAAUGACAAAUUGAUUGUUUGAUAUUUUAAAUAUCGAAUAAAAUAUUUGUUUGACAUAUAUUUAUUCGACGGUAUGACAGUUAAAUAAAUAUAUUACAUUCGAUUUAAAAAUAUAUUUCAAUUAUGUAUGAUUUUUUUAUUUAUUAAUAUGAUUUAAAAAAAAACUCUUAAAUAGAAUAUAUUAUGUUAAAAUUAAUUACAAAUUUUGGCAAUUAAUAUUAAGUGUUUAUUUAAUAAUAAAAUUAGCGAUUUCAAUUCUCAAAAUAGACUUCUUUUUUCCUUGACCCCUAAAUAUGUAAUCAAAUCUCACCAACUAUUAAACGCUCGUAUUAAGCCUAUACAAUUAUGAAUGAACAGUAUUCGGUCAAAAUAAAAAAAAUUAAUCAAACUGAAUUAAUUUUAAAAUUCAGUUUAAUUUUUUAUUCAAUUCAAUUCGGUUCGAUUUUUAAUUUUAAAAAAUUUAAUUAUUUCAGUUCGGUUCGAUUUUGAUAAAAAAAUUGAAAAAAUUAAACCGAACCGAUUAGUGAUAAUAAUAUAUUAUUUUUAAUAAUAUAGAUAAAUUAAAUUAUAUUAAGAUUAAAAUAUUUUAAUUAAAUUUUAAAAUAUUAAAAAUAAAGUGUAAAAAAUAAAAAAUUNNNNNNNNNNNNNNNNNNNNNNNNNNNNNNNNNNNNNNNNNNNNNNNNNNNNNNNNNNNNNNNNNNNNNNNNNNNNNNNNNNNNNNNNNNNNNNNNNNNNNNNNNNNNNNNNNNNNNNNNNNNNNNNNNNNNNNNNNNNNNNNNNNNNNNNNNNNNNNNNNNNNNNNNNNNNNNNNNNNNNNNNNNNNNNNNNNNNNNNNNNNNNNNNNNNNNNNNNNNNNNNNNNNNNNNNNNNNNNNNNNNNNNNNNNNNNNNNNNNNNNNNNNNNNNNNNNNNNNNNNNNNNNNNNNNNNNNNNNNNNNNNNNNNNNNNNNNNNNNNNNNNNNNNNNNNNNNNNNNNNNNNNNNNNNNNNNNNNNNNNNNNNNNNNNNNNNNNNNNNNNNNNNNNNNNNNNNNNNNNNNNNNNNNNNNNNNNNNNNNNNNNNNNNNNNNNNNNNNNNNNNNNNNNNNNNNNNNNNNNNNNNNNNNNNNNNNNNNNNNNNNNNNNNNNNNNNNNNNNNNNNNNNNNNNNNNNNNNNNNNNNNNNNNNNNNNNNNNNNNNNNNNNNNNNNNNNNNNNNNNNNNNNNNNNNNNNNNNNNNNNNNNNNNNNNNNNNNNNNNNNNNNNNNNNNNNNNNNNNNNNNNNNNNNNNNNNNNNNNNNNNNNNNNNNNNNNNNNNNNNNNNNNNNNNNNNNNNNNNNNNNNNNNNNNNNNNNNNNNNNNNNNNNNNNNNNNNNNNNNNNNNNNNNNNNNNNNNNNNNNNNNNNNNNNNNNNNNNNNNNNNNNNNNNNNNNNNNNNNNNNNNNNNNNNNNNNNNNNNNNNNNNNNNNNNNNNNNNNNNNNNNNNNNNNNNNNNNNNNNNNNNNNNNNNNNNNNNNNNNNNNNNNNNNNNNNNNNNNNNNNNNNNNNNNNNNNNNNNNNNNNNNNNNNNNNNNNNNNNNNNNNNNNNNNNNNNNNNNNNNNNNNNNNNNNNNNNNNNNNNNNNNNNNNNNNNNNNNNNNNNNNNNNNNNNNNNNNNNNNNNNNNNNNNNNNNNNNNNNNNNNNNNNNNNNNNNNNNNNNNNNNNNNNNNNNNNNNNNNNNNNNNNNNNNNNNNNNNNNNNNNNNNNNNNNNNNNNNNNNNNNNNNNNNNNNNNNNNNNNNNNNNNNNNNNNNNNNNNNNNNNNNNNNNNNNNNNNNNNNNNNNNNNNNNNNNNNNNNNNNNNNNNNNNNNNNNNNNNNNNNNNNNNNNNNNNNNNNNNNNNNNNNNNNNNNNNNNNNNNNNNNNNNNNNNNNNNNNNNNNNNNNNNNNNNNNNNNNNNNNNNNNNNNNNNNNNNNNNNNNNNNNNNNNNNNNNNNNNNNNNCCUAGCUUUGAUGCUGAUAAUGAGUUCAUUACUUUGCUGCACGGCUCGGAUCCGGUUAAGGUUGAGCUUAAUCGGCUUGAGAACGAAGUUAGAGGUCUGAAUGUGGUUCGAUCUAGUGGUUUUUCGCUGUAUUUCGCUGGGUUUCGAGCUCGAUUUAUUUUGCCUGUGGUGACAUUUUGAAGUUUUUUUAUUUUCGUCUGUGAUUUUUGGUGCAGAUAAAGACAGAGAAUUGGGAGAAGCACAAGCUGAGAUCAAGGCGUUGAGGCUUUCCGAGAGACUAAGAGAGAAGGCUGUCGAAGAGGUCAUUCUCUGUACUUCUCUCCUCCCCCCCC